UAACAAGACCUAACCAGUAACAAGACCUCGACCAGGACACAAACUCAACACUAGGGACUCUGAAACUGAAAUAUGCAAAGGCUAUGGCGCGGAUGGGUUGUAGGACAUGAAAACAAUAUGGCAAUAGACUUAUGGGACGAACACAAGGACACUUCAAACUAAGGGUAGAUGUGAACCUAACGAUAUGUCUGAAGCUUUGAUUACAACUUCAGGAGAACAAGUGUGGCCCGAUCUUCCGAAACUUUCUGGUAACUAUCGAUUUGGUGGAAACGAGAGACAUCAAUCCAGCUUGCGAACAACACAAUUCGAAACCCUGCAAUUCUUUUUAUUUUUUUGAUAUUUUUCUUUUACUAAGGAGCACUCAAGAAGUAACCACAGGAAAUUUGAGCUUAAACAAGUGAAAGACGUGGCCUGUGGAAUUUUUUGAAGAUUGUGAAAAAUAUGAAAAAAAUUUAGGAGGUGAAAACUCAAACUUCAGAGGCGAAUUUGGGGAUUCUAAAAUUGUCGAACCCGCCGUUGGCGGGAUAGACAUAUCCAAAAAAAUUUUCUAAUCGAUUUUGAUAUAUGGAACGUCAAAAUUGGAGUUCGUAUGCGAAAGUUAUGACUGUUUUACGAACAGACUCUGAAUUAGAGGACAAAACGGUCCGGAAGUGGGAAAAAAUUGCGGUGGUGGCUAGAAAUUGAUGGAAACAGUGGGAAAAAACACACAAACUGGAAUGUAACAAGACCGAACCAGUAACAAGACCUCGACCAGGACACAAACUCAACACUAGGGACUCUGAAACUGAAAUAUGCAAAGGCUAUGGCGCGGAUGGGUUGUAGGACAUGAAAACAAUAUGGCAAUAGACUUAUGGGACGAACACAAGGACACUUCAAACUAAGGGUAGAUGUGAACCUAACGAUAUGUCUGAAGCUUUGAUUACAACUUCAGGAGAACAAGUGUGGCCCGAUCUUCCGAAACUUUCUGGUAACUAUCGAUUUGGUGGAAACGAGAGACAUCAAUCCAGCUUGCGAACAACACAAUUCGAAACCCUGCAAUUCUUUUUAUUUUUUUGAUAUUUUUCUUUUACUAAGGAGCACUCAAGAAGUAACCACAGGAAAUUGGAGCUUAAACAAGUGAAAGACGUGGCCUGUGGAAUUUUUUGAAGAUUGUGAAAAAUAUGAAAAAAAUUUAGGAGGUGAAAACUCAAACUUCAGAGGCGAAUUUGGAGAUUCUAAAAUUGUCGAACCCGCCGUUGGCGGGAUAGACAGAUCCAAAAAAAUUUUCUAAUCGAUUUUGAUAUAUGGAACGUCAAAAUUGGAGUUCGUAUGCGAAAGUUAAGGCUGUUUUACGAACGGACUCCGAAUUAGAGGACAAAACGGUUCGGAAGUGGGAAAAAUUUGCGAUGGUGGCUAGAAAUUGGUGGAAAUAGUGGGAAAAAACAGACAAACUGGACUGUAACAAGACCUAACCAGUAACAAGACCUCGACCAGGACACAAACUCAACACUAUGGACUCUGAAACUGAAAUAUGCAAAGGCUAUGGCGCGGAUGGGUUGUAGGACAUGAAAACAAUAUGGCACUAGACUUAUGGGACGAACACAAGGACACUUGAAACUAAGGGUAGAUGUGAACCCAACGGUAUGUCUGAAGCAUUGAUUACCACUUGAUGAGAACAAGUGGGCCCGAUCUUCCGAAAGUUUCUUGUAACUAUCGAUUUGGUGGAGACGAGAGACAUAUCAAUCCAGUUUGCGAACAACACAAUUCGAAACCCAACAAUUCUUUUUUUUUGAUAUUUUUCUUUUACUUAGGAGCACUCAAGAAGUAACCACAGGAAAUUUGAGCUUAAACAAGUGAAAUACGUGGCCUGUGGAAUUUUAUGAAGAUUGUGAAAAAUAUGAAAAAAACUUUAGGAGGUGAAAACUCAAACUUCAGAGGCGAAUUUGGGGAUCCAAAAAUUGUUGAACCCGCCUUUGGCAGGGAUAGACAGAUCCAAAAAUUUUUUCUGAUCGAUUUUUAUAUAUGGAACGUCAAAAUUGGAGUUCGUAUGAGAAAGUUAUGGCUGUUUUACGAACGGACUCGGAAUUAGAGGACAAAACGGUCCGGAAGUGGGAAAAAUUUGCGGUGGUGGCUAGAAAUUGAUGGAAACAGUGGGAGAAACACACAAACUGGACUGUAAAAAGACCUAACCAAUAACAAGACCUCGACCAGGACACAAACUCAACACUACGGACUCUGAAACUGAAAUAUGCAAAGACUUUGGCGCGGAUGGGUUGUAGGACAUGAAAACAAUAUAGCACUGGACUUAUGGGACGAACACAAGGACACUUGAAACUAAGGGUAGAUGUGAACCUAACGGUAUGUCUGAAGCUUUGAUUACCACUUGAGGAGAACAAGUGUGGCCCGAUCUUCCGAAAGUUUCUGUUAACUCUCGAUUUGGUGGAAACGAGAGACAUAUCAAUCCACCUUGCGAACAACACAAUUCGAAACCCUGCAAUUUUGUUUUGAUAUUUUUCUUUUACUUAGGGGCACUCAAGAAGUAACCACAGGAAAUUUGAGUUUAAACAAGUGAAAGACGUGGCCUGUGGAAUUUUUUGAAGAUUGUGAAAAAUAUGAAAAAAAAACUUUAGGAGGUGAAAACUCAAACUUCAGAGGCGAAUUUGGGGAUUCUAAAAUUGUCGAACCCGCCGUUGGCGGGGAUAGACAGAUCCAAAAUUUAUUUCUGAUCGAUUCGAUUUUGAUAUAUAGAACGUCAAAAUUGGAGUUCGUAUGCGAAAGUUAUGGCUGUUUUACGAACGGACUCUGAAUUACAGGACAAAACGGUCCGGAAGUGGGAAAAAAUUGCGGUGGUGGCUAGUAAUUGAUGGAAACAGUUGGAAAAAACACACAAACUGGAAUGUAACAAGACCUAACCAGUAACAAGACCUCGACCAGGACAAAAACUCAACACUACGGACUCUGAAACUGAAAUAUGCAAAGGCUAUGGCGCGGAUGGGUUGUAGAACAUGAAAACAAUAUGGCACUAGACUUAUGGGACGAACACAAGUACACUUCAAACUAAAGUAGAUGUGAACCUAACGUUAUGUCUGAAGCUUUGAUUACUACUUGAGGAGAACAAGUGUGGCCCGAUCUUCCGAAAGUUUGUGGUAACUAUCGAUUUGGUGGAAACAAGAGACAUAUCAAUCCAGCCUGCGAACAGCACAAUUCGAAACCCUGCAAUUCUUUUUUUUUGAUAUUUUUCUUUUACUUAGGAGCACUGAAGAAUUAACCACUGGAAAUUUGAGCUUAAACAAGUGAAAGACGUGGCCUGUGGAAUUUUUUGAAGAUUGUGAAAAAUAUGAAAAAACUUUAGAAGGUGAAAACUCAAACUUCAGAGGCGAAUUUGGGGAUUCUAAAAUUGUCAAACCCGCCGUUGGCGAGGAUAGACAGAUCCAAAAAUUGUUUCUGAUCGAUUCGAUUUUGAUAUAUAGAACGUCAAAAUUGGAGUUCGUAUGUGAAAGUUAUGGCUGUUUUACGAACGGACUCUGAAUUAGAGGACAAAACGGUCCGGAAGUGGGAAAAAAUUGCGGUGGUGGCUAGAAAUUGAUGGCAACAGUGGGAAAAAACACACAAACUGGACUGUAACAAGACGUAACCAGUAACAAGACCUCGACCGGGACACAAAGUCAACACUACGGACUCUGAAACUGAAAUAUGCAAAGGCUAUGGUGCGGAUGGGUUGUAGGACAUGAAAACAAUAUGGCACUAGACUUAUGGGACGAACACAAGGACACUUCAAACUAAGGGUAGAUGUGAACCUAACGGUAUGUCUGAAGCUUUGAUUACCACUUGAGGAGAACAAGUGUGGCCCGACCUUCCGAAAGUUUCUGGUAACUAUCGAUUUGGUGGAAACGAGAGACAUAUCAAUCAAACUUGCGAACAACACAAUUCGAAACCGUGCAAUUCUUUUUAUUUUUUUUGAUAUUUUUGUUUUACUAAGGAGCACUCAAGAAGUAACCACGGGAAAUUUGAGCUUAAACAAGUGAAAUACGUGGCCUGUGGAAUUUUUUGAAGAUUGUGAAAAAUAUGAAAAAAAACUUUAGGAGGUGAAAACUCAAACUUUAGAGGCGAAUUUGGGGAUUCUAAAAUUGUCGAACCCGCUGUUAGCGGGGAUAGACAGAUCCAAAAAAUUUUCUGAUCGAUUUUGAUAUAUGCAACGUCAAAAUUGGAGUUCGUAUGCGAAAGUUAUGACUGUUUUACGAACGGACUCUGAAUUAGAGGACAAAACGGUCCGGAAGUGGGAAAAAUUUGCGGUGGUGGCUAGAAAUUGAUGGAAACAGUGGGAGAAACACACAAACUGGACUGUAAAAAGACCUAACCAGUAACAAGACCUCGACCAGAACAACACAAACUCAACACUACGGACUCUGAAACUGAAAUAUGCAAAGGCUAUGGCGCGGAUGGGUUGUUGGACAUGAAAACAAUAUGGCACUAGACUUAUGGAACGAACACAAUGACACUUGAAACUAAGGGUAGAUGUGAACCUAACGGUAUGUCUGAAGCUUUGAUUACCGCUUGACUAGAACAAGUGUGACCUGAUCUUCCGAAAGUUUCUGGUAACUAUCGAUUUAGUGGAAACGAGAGACAUAUCAAUCCACCUUGCGAACAACACAAUUCGAAACCCUGCAAUUCUUUUUUUUGAUAUUUUUAUUUUACUUAGGGGCACUCAAGAAGUAACCACAGGAAAUUUGAGCUUAAACAAGUGAAAGACGUGGCCUGUGGAAUUUUUUGAAGAUUGUGAAAAAUAUGAAAAAAAAACUUUAGGAGGUGAAAACUCAAACUUCAGAGGCGAAUUUGGGGAUUCUAAAAUUGUCGAACCCGCCAUUGGCGGGGAUAGACAGAUCCAAAAAUUAUUUCUGAUCGAUUCGAUUUUGAUAUAUAGAACGUCAAAAUUGGAGUUCGUAUGCGAAAGUUAUGGCUGAUUUACGAACGGACUCUGAAUUAGAGGACAAAACGGUCCGGAAGUGGGAAAAAAUUGCGGUGGUGGCUAGAAAUUGAUGGAAACAGUGGGAAAAACACACAAACUGGAAUGUAACAAGACCUAACCAGUAACAAGACCUCGACCAGGAAAAAACUCAACACUACGGACUCUGGAACUGAAAUAAGCAAAGGCUAUGGCGCGGAUGGGUUGUAGGACAUGAAAACAAUAUGGCACUUGACUUCUGGGACGAACACAAGUACACUUCAAACUAAGGGUAGAUGUGUACCUAACAUUAUGUCUGAAGCUUUGAUUACCACUUGAGGAGAACAAGUGUGGCCCGAUCUUCCGAAAGUUUCUGGUAACUAUCGAUUUGGUGGAAACAAGAGACAUAUUAAUCCAGCUUGCGAACAACACAAUUCGAAACACUGCAAUUCUUUUUUUUUUGAUAUUUUUCUUUUACUUAGGAGCACUCAAGAAUUAACCACAGGAAAUUUGAGCUUAAACAAGUGAAAGACGUGGCCUGUGGAAUUUUUUGAAGAUUGUGAAAAAUAUGAAAAAAAACAUUAGGAGGUGAAAACUCAAACUUCAGAGGUGAAUUUGGAGAUUCUAAAAUUGUCAAACCCGCCGUUGGCGAGGAUAGACAGAUCCGAAAAUUGUUUCUGAUCAAUUCGAUUUUGAUAUAUAGAACGUCAAAAUUGGAGUUCGUAUGCGAAAGUUAUGGCUGUUUUACGAACGGACUCUGAAUUAGAGGACAAAACGGUCCGGAAGUGGGAAAAAAUUGCGGUGGUGGCUAGAAAUUGAUGGAAAUAGUGGGAAAAACACAUUAACUGGACUGUAACAAGACCUAACCAGUAACAAGACCUCGACCGGGACACAAAGUCAACACUACAGACUCUGAAACUGAAAUAUGCAAAGGCUAUGGUGCGGAUGGGUUGUAGGACAUGAAAACAAUAUGGCACUAGACUUAUGGGACGAACACACGGACACUUCAAACUAAGGGUAGAUGUAUAACGGUAUGUCUGAAGCUUUGAUUACCACUUGAGGAGAACAAGUGUGGCCCGAUCUUCCGAAAGUUUCUGGUAACUAUCGAUUUGGUGGAAACGAGAGACAUAUCAAUCCAACUUGCGAACAACACAAUUCGAAAUCCUGCAAUUCUUUUUAUUUUUUUUUAUAUUUUUGUUUUACUAAGGAGCACUCAAGAAGUAACCACAGGAAAUUUGAGCUUAAACAAGUGAAAGACAUGGCCUGUGCAAUUUUUUGAAGAUUGUGAAAAAUAUGAAAAAAACAUUAGGAGGUGAAAACUCAAACUUCAGAGGUGAAUUUGGGGAUUCUAAAAUUGUCGAACCCGCCGUUGGCGAGGAUAGACAGAUCCAAAAAUUAUUUCUCAUCGAUUCGAUUUUGAUAUAUAGAACGUCAAAAUUAGAGUUCGUAUGCGAAAGUUAUGGUUGUUUUACGAACGGACUCUGAAUUAGAGGACAAAACGGUCCGGAAGUGGGAAAAGAUUGCGGUGGUGGCUAGAAAUUGAUGAAAACAGUGAGAAAAAACACACAAACUGGACUGUAACAAGACCUAACCAGUAACAAGACCUCGACCAGGAUACAAACUCAACACUACGGACUCUAAAACUGAAAUAUGCAAAGGCUAUGGCGCGGAUGGGUUGUAGGACAUGAAAACAAUAUGGCACUAGACUUAUGGGACGAACACAAGGACACUUGAAACUAAGGGUAGAUGUGAACCUAACGGUAUGUCUGAAGCAUUGAUUACCACUUGAGGAGAACAAGUGGGCACGAUUUUCCGAAAGUUUCUGGUAACUAUCGAUUUGGUGGAAACGAGAGACAUAUCAAUCCAACUUGCGAACAACGCAAUUCGAAACCCUGCAAUUCUUUUUAUUUUUUUUGAUAUUUUUGUUUUACUAAGGAGCACUCAAGAAGUAACCACAGGAAAUUUGAGCUUAAACAAGUGAAAGACGUGGCCAGUGGAAUUUUUUGAAUAUUGUGAAAAAUAUGAAAAAAAACAUUAGGAGGUGAAAACUCAAACUUCAUAGGCGAAUUUGGAGAUUCUAAAAUUGUCGAACCCGCCGUUGGCGAGGAUAGACAGAUCCAAAAAUUGUUUCUGAUCGAUUCGAUUUUGAUAUAUAGAACGUCAAAAUUGGAGUUCGUAUGCGAAAGUUAUGGCUGUUUUACGAACGGACUCCGAAUUAGAGGACAAAACGGUCUGGAAGUGGGAAAAAUUGCGGUGGUGGCUAGAAAUUGAUGGAAACAGUGGGAAAAAACACACAAACUGGACUGUAACAAGACCUAACCAGUAACAAGACCUCGACCAGGACACAAACUCAACACUACGGACUCUGAAACUGAAAUAUGCAAAGGCUAUGGCGCGGAUGGGUUGUAGGACAUGAAAACAAUAUGGCACUAGACUUAUGGGACGAACAUAAGGACACUUGAAACUAAGGGUAAAUGUGAACCUAACGGUAUGUCUGAAGCUUUGGUUACCACUUGAGGAGAACAAGUGUGGCCCGAUCUUCCGAAAGUUCCUGGUAACUAUCGAUUUGGUGGAAACGAGAGACAUAUCAAUCCAGCUUGCGAACAACACAAUUCACUGCAAUUCUUUUUAUUUUUUUGAUAUUUUUCUUUUACUUAGGAGCACUCAAGAAGUACCACAGGAAAUUUAAGCUUAAACAAGUGAAAGACGUGGCCUGUGGAAUUUUUUGAAGAUUGUGAAAAAUAUGAAAAAAACUUUAGGAGGAGAAAACUCAAACUUCAGAGGCGAAUUUGGGGAUUCUAAAAUUGUCGAACCCGCCCUUGGCGGGGAUAGACAGAUCCAAAAAUUGUUUCUGAUCGAUUCGAUUUUGAUAUAUAGAACGUCAAAAUUGGAGUUCGUAUGCGAAACUUAUGGCUGUUUUACGAACGGACUCUGAAUUAGAUGACAAAACGGUCUGGAAGUGGGAAAAAUUUACGGUGGUGGCUAGAAAUUGAUGGAAACAGUGGGAAAAAACACACAAACUGGACUGUAACAAGACUUAACCAGUAACAAGACCUCGACCAGGACACAAACUCAACACUACGGACUCUGAAACUGAAAUAUGCAAAGGCUAUGGCGCGGAUGGGUUGUAGGACAUGAAAACAAUAUGGAACUAGACUUAUGGGAUGAACACAAGGGCACUUCAAACUAAGGGUAGAUGUGAACCUAACAGUAUGUCUGAAGCUUUGAUUACCACUUGAGGAGAACAAGUGUGGCCCGAUCUUCUGAAAGUUUCUGGUAACUAUCGAUUUGGUGGAAACGAUAGACAUAUCAAUCCAACUUGCGAACAACAUAAUUCGAAACCCUACAAUUAUUUUUAUUUUUUUUGAUAUUUUUGUUUUACUAAGGAGCACUCAAGAAGUAACCACAGGAAAUUUGAGCUUAAACAAGUGAAAGACGUGGCCUAUGGAAUUUUUUGAAGAUUGUGAAAAAUAUGAAAAAAACUUUAGGAGGUGAAAACCAAACUUCGGAGGCGAAUUUGGGGAUUCUAAAAUUGUCGAACCCGCCGUUGGCGGGAUAGACAGAUCCAAAAAUUGUUUCUGAUCGAUUCGAUUUUGAUAUAUAGAACGUCAAAAUUGGAGUUCGUAUGCGAAAGUUAUGGCUGUUUUAAGAACGGACUCUGAAUUAGAGGACAAAACGGACCGGAAGUGGGAAAAAAUUGCGGUGGUGGCUAGAAAUUGAUGGAAACAGUGGGAAAAAACACACAAACUGGACAGUAACAAGACCUAACCAGUAACAAGACCUCGACCAGGACACAAACUCGACACUACGGACUCUGAAACUGAAAUAUGCAAAGGCUAUGGCGCGGAUGGGUUGUAGGACAUGAAAACAAUAUGGCACUAGACUUAUGGGACGAACACAAGGACACUUCAAACUAAGGGUAGAUGUGAACCCAACGGUAUGUCUGAAGCUUUGAUUACCACUUGAGGAGAACAAGUGUGGUCCGAUCUUCCGAAAGUUUGUGGUAACUAUGGAUUUGGUGGAAACGAUAGACAUAUCAAUCCACCUUGCGAACAACACAAUUCGAAACCCUACAAUUCCUUUUUUUGAUAUUUUUCUUUUACUUAGGAGCACUCAAGAAGUAACCACAGGAAAUUUGAGCUUAAACAAGUGAAAGACGUGGCCAGUGGAAUUUUUUGAAGAUUGUGAAAAAUAUGAAAAAAAACUUUAGGAGGUGAAAACUCAAACUUCAGAGGCAAAUUUGGGGAUACUAAAAUUGUCGAACCCGCCGUUUGUCGGGAUAGACAGGUCCAAAGAAAUUUUCUGAUCGAUUCUGAUAUAUGGAACGUCAAAAUUGGAGUUCGUAUGCGAAAGUUAUGGCUGUUUUACGAACGGACUCCGAAUUAGAGGACAAAACGGUCCGGAAGUGGGAAAAAUUUGCGAUGGUGGCUAGAAAUUGAUGGAAACAGUAGGAAAAAACACACAAACUGGACUGUAACAAGACCUAACCAGUAACAAGACCUCGACCAGGACACAAACUUAACACUAUGGACUCUGAAACUGAAAUAUGCAAAGGCUAUGGCGCGGAUGGGUUGUAGGACAUGAAAACAAUAUGGCACUAGACUUAUAGGACGAACACAAGGACACUUGAAACUAAGGGUAGAUGUGAACCUAACGGUAUGUCUGAAGCUUUGAUUACCACUUGAGGAGAACAAGUGUGGCCCGAUCUUCCGAAAGUUUCUCGUGACUAUCGAUUUGGUAGAAACGAGAGACAUAUCAAUCCAGCUUGCUAACAACACAAUUCGAAACCCUGCAAUUCUUUUUUUUUGAUAUUUUUCUUUUACUUAGGAGCAUUCAAGAAGUAACCACAUGAAUUUUGAGCUUAAACAAGUGAAAGACGUGGCCAGUGGAAUUUUUUGAAGAUUGUGAAAAAUAUGAAAAAAAACUUUAGGAGGUGAGAACUCAAACUUCAGAGGCAAAUUUGGGGAUUCUAAAAUUGUCGAACCCACCGUUGGCUGGGAUAGACAGAUCCAAAAAAAUUUUCUGAUCGAUUCUGAUAUAUGGAACAUCAAAAUUGGAGUUCGUAUGCGAAAGUUCUGGCUGUUUUACGAACGGACUCCGAAUUAGAGGACAAAACGGUCCGGAAGUGGGAAAAAUUUACGGUGGUGGCUAGAAAUUGAAGGAAACAGUGGGAAAAUACAAACAAACUGGACUGUAACAAGACCUAACCAGUAACAAGACCUCGACCAGGACACAAACUCAACACUACAGACUAUGAAACUGAAAUAUGCAAAGGCUAUGGCGCGGAUGGGUUGUAGGACAUGAAAACAAUAUGGCACUAGACUUAUGGGACGAACACAAGGACACUUGAAACUAAGGGUAGAUGUGAACCUAAUGGAAUGUAUGAAGCUUUGAUUACCACUUGAGGAGAACAAGUGUGGCCCGAUCUUCCGAAAGUUUCUCGUAACUAUCGAUGUGGUGGAAACGAGAGACAUAUCAAUCUAGCUUGCGAACAACACAAUUCGAAACCCUGCAAUUCCUUUUUUUGAUAUUUUUCUUUUACUUAGGAGCACUCAAGAAGUAACCACAGGAAAUUUGAGCUUAAACAAGUGAAAGACAUGGCCAGUGGAAUUUUUUGAAGAUUGUGAAAAAUAUGAAAAAAAACUUUAGGAGGUGAAAACUCAAACUUCAGAGGCAAAUUUGGGGAUACUAAAAUUGUCGAACCCGCCGUUUGUCGGGAUAGACAGGUCCAAAGAAAUUUUCUGAUCGAUUCUGAUAUAUGGAACGUCAAAAUUGGAGUUCGUAUGCGAAAGUUAUGGCUGUUUUACGAACGGACUCCGAAUUAGAGGACAAAACGGUCCGGAAGUGGGAAAAAUUUGCGAUGGUGGCUAGAAAUUGAUGGAAACAGUGGGAAAAAACACACAAACUGGACUGUAACAAGACCUAACCAGUAACAAGACCUCGACCAGGACACAAACUUAACACUAUGGACUCUGAAACUGAAAUAUGCAAAGGCUAUGGCGCGGAUGGGUUGUAGGACAUGAAAACAAUAUGGCACUAGACUUAUAGGACGAACACAAGGACACUUGAAACUAAGGGUAGAUGUGAACCUAACGGUAUGUCUGAAGCUUUGAUUACCACUUGAGGAGAACAAGUGUGGCCCGAUCUUCCGAAAGUUUCUCGUGACUAUCGAUUUGGUAGAAACGAGAGACAUAUCAAUCCAGCUUGCUAACAACACAAUUCGAAACCCUGCAAUUCUUUUUUUUUGAUAUUUUUCUUUUACUUAGGAGCAUUCAAGAAGUAACCACAUGAAUUUUGAGCUUAAACAAGUGAAAGACGUGGCCAGUGGAAUUUUUUGAAGAUUGUGAAAAAUAUGAAAAAAAACUUUAGGAGGUGAAAACUCAAACUUCAGAGGCAAAUUUGGGGAUUCUAAAAUUGUCGAACCCGCCGUUGGCUGGGAUAGACAGAUCCAAAAAAAUUUUCUGAUCGAUUCUGAUAUAUGGAACAUCAAAAUUGGAGUUCGUAUGCGAAAGUUCUGGCUGUUUUACGAACGGACUCCGAAUUAGAGGACAAAACGGUCCGGAAGUGGGAAAAAUUUACGGUGGUGGCUAGAAAUUGAAGUAAACAGUGGGAAAAUACAAACAAACUGGACUGUAACAAGACCUAAUCAGUAACAAGACCUCGACCAGGACACAAACUCAACACUACAGACUCUGAAACUGAAAUAUGCAAAGGCUAUGGCGCGGAUGGGUUGUAGGACAUGAAAACAAUAUGGCACUAGACUUAUGGGACGAACACAAGGACACUUCAAACUAAGGGUAGAUGUGAACCUAAGGGUAUGUCUGAAGCUUUGAUUACCACUUGAGGAGAACAAGUGUGGCCCGAUCUUCCGAAAGUUUCUAGUAACUAUCGAUUUGGUGGAAACGAGAGAUAUAUCAAUCCAGCUUGCGAACAACACAAUUCGAAACCCUGCAAUUCUUUUUAUUUUUAUUUUGAUAUUUUUCUUUUACUUAGGAGCACUCAAGAAGUAACCACAGGAAAUUUGAGCUUAAACAAGUGAAAGACGUGUCCUGUGGAAUUUUUGAAGAUUGUGAAAAAUAUGAAAAAAAUCUUUAGGAGGUGAAAACUCAAACUUCAUAGGCGAAUUUGGAGAUUCUAAAAUUGUCGAACCCACCGUUGGCGGGGAUAGACAGAUCCAAAAAUUGUUUCUGAACAAUUCGAUUUUGAUAUAUAGAACGUCAAAAUUGGAGUUCGUAUGCGAAAGUUAUGGCUGUUUUACGAAUGGACUCUGAAUUAGAGGACAAAACGGUCCGGAAGUGGGAAACAAUUGCGGUGGUGGCUAGAAAUUGAUGGAAACAGUGAGAAAAAACACACAAACUGGACUGUAACAAGGCCUAACCAGUAACAAGACCUCGACCAGGACACAAACUCAACACUACGGGCUCUGAAACUGAAAUAUGCAAAGGCUAUGGCGCGGAUGGGUUGUAGGACAUGAAAACAAUAUGGCACUAGACUUAUGGGACGAACACAAGGACACUUGAAACUAAGGGUAGAUGUGAACCUAACGGUAUGUCUGAAGCUUUGAUUACCACUUGAGGAGAACAAGUGUGGCCCGAUCUUCCGAAAGUUUCUCGUAACUAUCGAUUUGUUGGAAACGAGAGACAUAUCAAUCCAGCUUGCUAACAACACAAUUCGAAACCCUACAAUUCUUUUUUUUUGAUAUUUUUCUUUUACUUAGGAGCACUCAAGAAGUAACCACAGGAAUUUUGAGCUUAAACAAGUGAAAGACGUGGCCAGUGGAUUUUUUUUGAAGAUUGUGAAAAAUAUGAAAAAAACUUUAGGAGGUGAAAACUCAAACUUCAGAGGCAAAUUUGGGGAUUCUAAAAUUGUCGAACCUGUGGUUGGCCAUGAUAGACAUAUCCAAAAAAAUUUUCUGAUCGAUUCUGAUAUAUGGAACGUCAAAAUUGGAGUUCGUAUGCGAAAGUUAUGGCUGUUUUACGAACGGACUCCGAAUUAGAGGACAAAACGGUCCGGAACUGGGAAAAAUUUACGGCGGUGGCUAGAAAUUAAAGGAAACAGUGGGAAAAAACAAACAAACUGGACUGUAACAAGACCUAACCAGUAACAAGACCUUGACCAGGACACAAACUCAACACUACAGACUCUGAAACUGAAAUAUGCAAAGGCUAUGGCGCGGAUGGGUUGUAGGACAUGAAAACAAUAUGGCACUAGACUUAUGGGACGAACACAAGGACACUUCAAACUAAGGGUAGAUGUGAAUCUAAGGGUAUGUCUGAAGCUUUGAUUACCACUUGAGGAGAACAAGUGUGGCCCGAUCUUCUAAAAGUUUCUGGUAACUAUCGAUUUGGUGGAAACGAGAGACAUAUCAAUCCAGCUUGCGAACAACACAAUUCGAAACCCUGCAAUUCUUUUUAUUUUUAUUUGAGCUUAAACAAGUGAAAGACGUGUCCGGUGGAAUUUUUUGAAGAUUGUGAAAAAUAUGAAAAAAAUCUUUAGGAGGUGAAAACUCAAACUUCAUAGGCGAAUUUCGAGAUUCUAAAAUUGUCGAACCCGCAGUUGGCGGGGAUAGACAGAUCCAAAAAUUGUUUGUGUUCGAUUCGAUUUUGAUAUAUAGAACGUCAAAAUUGGAGUUCGUAUGCGAAAGUUAUGGCUGUUUUACGAACGCACUCUGAAUUAGAGGACAAAACGGUCCGGAAGUGGGAAACAAUUGCGGUGGUGGCUAGAAAUUGAUGGAAACAGUGGGAAAAACACACAAACUGGACUGUAACAAGACCUAACCAGUAACAAGACCUCGACCUGGACACAAACUCAACACUACGGACUCUGAAACUGAAAUAUGCAAAGGCUAUGGCGCGGAUGGGUUGUAGGACAUGAAAACAAUAUGGCACUAGACUUAUGGGACGAACACAAGGACACUUGAAACUAAGGGUAGAUGUGAACCUAACGGUAUGUCUGAAGCUUUGAUUACCACUUGAGGAGAACAAGUGUGGCCCGAUCUUCCGAAAGCUUCUCGUAACUAUCGAUUUGGUGGAAACGAGAGACAUAUCAAUCCAGCUUGCUAACAACACAAUUCGAAACCCUGCAAUUCUUUUUUUGAUAAUUUUCUUUUACUUAGGAGCACUCAAGAAGUUACCACAGGAAUUUUGAGCUUAAACAAGUGAAAGACGUGGCCAGUGGAUUUUUUUGAAGAUUGUGAAAAAUAUGAAAAAAAACUUUAGGAGGUGAAAACUCAAACUUCAGAGGCAAAUUUGGGGAUUCUAAAAUUGUCGAACCCGCCGCUGGCGGGGAUAGACAGAUCCAAAAAAUUUUUCUGAUCGAUUCUGAUAUAUGGAACGUCAAAAUUGGAGUUCGUAUGCGAAAGUUAUGGCUGUUUUACGAACGGACUCCGAAUUAGAGGAUAAAACGGUCCGGAAGUGGGAAAAAUUUGCGGUGGUGGCUAGAAAUUGAUGGAAACAGUGGGAAAAAACACACAAACUGGACUAUAACAAGACCUAACCAGUAACAAGACCUCGACCAGGACACAAACUCAACACUACGGAUUCUGAAACUGAAGUAUGCAAAGGCUAUGGCGCGGAUGGGUUGUAGGACAUGAAAAGAAUAUGGCACUAGACUUAUGGAACGAACACAAGGACACUUGAAGCUAAGGGUAGAUGUGAACCUAACGGUAUGUCUGAAGCUUUGAUUACCACUUAAGGAGAACAAGUUUGGCCCGAUCUUCCGAAAGUUUCUCGUAACUUUGGAUUUGGUGGAAACGAGAGACAUAUCAAUCCAGCUUGCGAACAACACAAUUUGAAACCCUGCAAUUCUUUUUUUGAUAUUUUUCUUUUACUUAGGAGCACUCAAGAACUAACCAUAGGAAAUUUGAGCUUAAACAAGUGAAAGACGUGGCCUGUGGAAUUUUUUGAAGAUUGUGAAAAAUAUGAAAAAAAAUCUUUAGGAGGUGAAAGCUCAAACUUUAGAGGCGAAUUUGGGGAUUCUAAAAUUGUCGAACCCGCCAGAGGUAGGGAUAGACAGAUCCAAAAUUUUUUUCUGAACGAUUUUGAUAUAUGGAACAUCAAAAUUAGAGUUCGUAUGCGAAAGUUAUGGCUGUUUUACGAACGGACUCCGAAUUAGAGGACAAAACGGUCCGGAGGUGGGAAAAAUUUACGGUGGUGGCUAGAAAUUGAUGGAAACAGUAGGAAAAAACACACAAACUAGACUGUAACAAGACCUAACCAGUAACAAGACCUAGACCAGGACACAAACUCAACACUACGGACUCUGAAACUGAAAUAUGCAAAGGCUAUGGCGCGGAUGGGUUGUAGGACAUGAAAACAAUAUGGCACUAGACUUAUGGGACGAACACAAGGACACUUGAAACUAUGGGUACAUAUGAACCUAACGGUAUGUCUGAAGCUUUGAUUACCACUUGAGGAGAACAAGUGUGGCCCAUCUUCCGAAAGUUUCUCGUAACUAUCGAUUUGGUGGAAACGAGAGACAUAUCAAUCCAGCUUGCGAACAACACAAUUCGAAACCCUACAAUUCUUUUUUUUUGCUAUUUUUAUUUUACUUAGGAGCACUCAAGAAGUAACCAUAGGAAAUUUGAGCUUAAACAACUGAAAGACGUGGCCUGUGGAAUUUUUUGAAGAUUGUGAAAAAUAUGAAAAAAAACUUUAGGAGGUGAAAACUCAAACUUCAGAGGCGAAUUUGGGGAUUCUAAAAUUGUCGAACCCGCCUUUGGCGGCGGGGAUAGACUGAUCCAAAAAAAAUUCUAAUGGAUUUUGAUAUAUGGAACGUCAAAAUUGGAGUUCGUAUGCGAAAGUUAUGGCUAUUUUACGAACGGACUCCGAAUUAGAGGACAAAACGGACCGGAAGUGGGAAAAAUUUGCGGUGGUGGCUAGAAAUUGCUGGAAACAGUGGGAAAAAACACACAAACUGGACUCUAACAAGGCCUAACCAGCAACAAGGCCUCGACCAGGACACAAACUCAACACUACGGACUCUGAAACUGAAAUAUGCAAAGGCUAUGGCGCGGAUGGGUUGUAGGACAUGAAAACAAUAUGGCACUAGACUUAUGAGACGAACACAAGGACACUUGAAACUAAGGGUAGAUAUGAACCUAACGGUAUGUCUGAAGCUUUGAUUACCACUUGAGGAGAACAAGUGUGGCCCGAUAUUCCGGAAGUUUCUCGUAACUAUCGAUUUGGUGGAAACGAGAGACAUAUCAAUCCAGCUUGCGAACAACACAAUUCGAAACCCUGCAAUUCUUUUUAUUUUUUUUUAUAUUUUUCUUUUACUUAGGAUCACUCAGGAAGUAACCACAGGAAAUUUUGAGCUUAAACAAGUGAAAGACGUGGCCUGUGGAAUUUUUUGAAGAUUGUCAAAAAUAUGAAAAAAAACUUUAGGAGGUGAAAACUCAAACUUCAGAGGCGAAUUUGGAGAUUCUAAAAUUGUCGAACCUGCCAAAGGCAGGGAUAGACAGAUCCAAAUUUUUGUUUUGAACCAUUUUGAUAUAUGGAACGUCAAAAUUAGAGUUCGUAUGCGAAAGUUAUGGCUCUUUUACCAACGGACUCCGAAUUAGAGGACAAAACGGUCCGGAAGUGGGAAAAAUUUGCGGUAGUGGCUAGAAAUUGAUGGAAACAGUGGAAAAAACACACAAACUGGACUCGUAACGAGAGACAUAUCAAUCCAGCUUGCGAACAAGACAAUUCGAAACCCUGCAAUUCUUUUUAUUUUUAUUUUUUGAUAUUUUUCUUUUACUUAGGAGCACCCAAGAAGUAACCACAGGAAAUUUGAGCUUAAACAAGUGAAAGACGUGGCCUGUGGAAUUUUUUGAAGAUUGUGAAAAAUAUGAAAAAAAUUUAGGAGGUGAAAACUCAAACUUCAGAGGCAAAUUUGGAGAUUCUAAAAUUGUCGAACCCGCCAAAGGCGGGGAUAGACAAAUCCAAAAUUUUUUUCUGAUCGAUUUUGAUAUAUGGAACGUCAAAAUUAGAGUUCGUAUACGAAAGUAAUGGCUGUUUUACGAACGAACUCCGAAUUAGAGCACAAAACGGUCCGGAAGUGGAAAAAAUUUGCGGUGGUGGCUAGAAAUUGAUGGAAAUAGUGGGAAAAAACACAUAAACUGGAGUGUAACAAGAUCUAACUAGUAACAAGACCUCGACCAGGACACAAACUCAACACUACAGACUCUGAAACUGAAAUAUGCAAAGGCUAUGGCGCGGAUGGGUUGUAGGACAUGAAAACAAUAUGGCACUAGACUUAUGGGACGAACACAAGGACACUUGAAACUAAGGAUAGAUGUGAACCUAACGGUAUGUCUGAAGCUUUGAUUACCACUUGAGGAGAACAAGUGUGGCCCGAUCUUCCGAAAGUUUUUGGUAACUAUCGAUUUGGUGGAAACGAGAGACAUGUCAAUCCAGCUUGUCAACAACACAAUUCAAAACCCUGCAAUUCUUUUUUUUGAUAUUUUUCUUUUACUUAGGAGCACUCAAGAAGUAACCACAGGGAAUUCGAGCUUAAACAAGUGAAAGACGUGGCCUGUGGAAUUUUUUGAAGAUUGUGAAAAAUAUGAAAAAAAAACUUUAGGAGGUGAAAGCUCAAACUUCAGAGGCGAAUUUGGGGAUUCUAAAAUUGUCGAACCCGCCAACGGCGGGCAUAGACUGAUCUAAAAAUUUUUUCUGAUGGAUUGUGAUAUAUGGAACGUCAAAAUUAGAGUUCGUAUGCGAAAGUUAUGGCUGUUUUACGAAUGGACUCCGAAUUAGAGGACAAAACAGUGAGGAAGUGGGAAAAUUUUGCGGUGGUGGCUAGAAAUUGAUGGAAACAGUGGGAAAAAACACACAAACUAGACUGUAACAAGACCUAACUAGUAACAAGACCUCGACCAUGGACUCUGAAACUGAAAUAUGCAAAGGCUACGGCGCGGAUGGGUUGUAGGACAUGAAAACAAUAUGGCACUAGACUUAUGGGACGAACACAAGGACACUUGAAACUAAGGAUAGAUGUGAACCUAACGGUAUGUCUGAAGCUUUGAUUACCACUUGAGGAGAACAAGUGUGACCCGAUCUUCCGAAAGUUUCACGUAGCUAUCGAUUUGGUGGAAACGAGAGACAUAUCAAUCCAGCUUGCGAACAACACAAUUCGAAACCCUGCAAUUUUUUUUAUUUUUUUUUGAUAUUUUUCUUUUACUUAGGAGCACUCAAGAAGUAACCACAGAAAAUUUGAGCUUAAACAAGUGAAAGACCUGGCCUGUGGAAUUUUUUGAAGAUUGUGAAAAAUAUGAAAAAAACCUUAGGAGGUGAAAACUCAAACUUCAGAGGCGAAUUUGGGGAUUCUAAAAUUAUCGAACUCGCCAAUGGCAAUAGACAGAUCCAAAAAUUUUUUCUGAUCGAUUCUGGUAUAUGGAACGUCAAAAUUAGAGUUCGUAUGCGAAGGUUAUGGCUGUUUUACGAACGGACUCCGAAUUAGAUAACAAAAGGGUCCGAAAGUGAGAAACAUUUGCGGUGGUGGCUAGAAAUUGAUGGAAACAGUGGGAAAAAAUACACAAACUGGACUGUAACAAAACCUAACCAGUAUCAAGACGUCGACCAGGACACAAACUCAACACUACGGACUCUGAAACUGAAAUAUGCAAAGGCUAUGGCGCGGAUGGGUUGUAGGACAUGAAAACAAUAUGGCACUAGACUUAUGGGAUGAACACAAGGACACUUGAAACUAAGGAUAGAUGUGAACCUAACGGUAUGUCUGAAGCUUUGAUUACCACUUGAAGAGAACAAGUGUGGCCCGAUCUUCCGAAAGUUUCUCGUAACUAUCGAUUUGGUGGAAACGAGAGACAUAUCAAUCCAGCUUGCGAACAACACAAUUCGAAACCCUGCAAUUCUUUUUAUUUUUAUUUUUUGAUAUUUUUCUUUUACUUAGGAGCACUCAAGAAGUAACCACAGGAAAUUUGAGCUUAAACAAGUGAAAGACGUGGCCUGUGGAAUUUUUUGAAGAUUGUGAAAAAUAUGAAAAAAAUUUAGGAGGUGAAAACUGAAACUUCAGAGGCGAAUUUGGGGAUUCUAAAAUUGUCGAACCUGCCAGAGGCGGAGAUAGACACAUCCAAAAAAUUGUUCUGAACGAUUUUGAUAUAUGGAACGUCAAAAUUAGAGUUCGUAUGCGAAAGUUAUGGCUGUUUUACGAACGGACUCCGAAUUAGAGGACAAAACGGUGAGGAAGUGAGAAAAAUUUGCGGUGGUGGCUAGAAAUUGAUGGAAACAGUGGGAAAAAACACACAAACUGGACUGUAACAAGACCUAACCAGUAACAAGACCUCCACCACGGACUCUAAAACUGAAAUAUGCAGAGGCUAUGGCGCGGAUGGGUUGUAGGAUAUGAAAACAAUAUGUCACUAGACUUAUGGGACGAACACAAGGACACUUGAAACUAAGGAUAGAUGUGAACCUAACGGUAUGUCUGAAGCUUUGAUUACCACUUGAGGAGAACAAGUGUGACCCGAUCUUCCGAAAGUUUCUCGUAACUAUCGAUUUGGUGGAAACGAGAGACAUAUCAAUCCAGCUUGCGAACAACACAAUUCGAAACCCUGCAAUUAUUUUUAUUUUUUUUGAUAUUUUUCUUUUACUUAGGAGGACUCAAGAAGUAACCACAGGAAAUUUGAGCUUAAACAAGUGAAAGACGUGGCCUGUGGAAUUUUUUGAAGAUUGUGAAAAAUAUGAAAAAAAAAUUUAGGACGUGAAAACUCAAACUUCAGAGGCGAAUUUGGGGAUUCUAAAAUUGUCGAACUCGCCAAAGGCGAGGAUAGAUAGAUCCAAAAAAAUUUUCUGAUCGAUUCUGGUAUAUGGAACGUCAAAAUUGGAGUUCGUAUGCGAAAGUUAUGGCUGUUUUACGAACGGAAUCCGAAUUAGAGGACAAAACGGUCCUGAAGUGAGAAAAAUUUGCGGUGUUGGCUAGAAAUUGAUGGAAACAGUGGGAAAAAACACACAAACUCGACUGCAACAAGACCUAACCAGUAUCAGGACGUCGACCAGGACACAAACUCAACACUACGGACUCUGAAACUGAAAUAUGCAAAGGCUAUGGCCCGGAUGGGUUGUAGGACAUGAAAACAAUAUGGCACUAGACUUAUGGGACGAACACAAGGACACUUGAAACUAAGGGUAGAUGUGAACCUAACGGUAUGUUUGAAGCUUUGAUUACCACUUGAGGAGAACAAGUGUGGCCCGAUCUUCCGAAAGUUUCUCAUAACUAUCGAUUUGGUGGAAACGAGAGACAUAUCAAUCCAGUUUGCGAACAAUACAAUUCGAACCAUGCAAUUCUUUUUUUUUUGAUAUUUUUCUUUUACUUAGGAGCACUCAAGAAGUAACCAUAGGAAAUUUGAGCUUAAACAAUUGAAAGACGUGGCCUGUGGAAUUUUUUGAAGAUUGUCAAAAAUAUGAAAAAAACUAGGAGGUGAAAACUCAAACUUCGGAGGCAAAUUUGGGGAUUCUAAAAUUGUCGAACCCGCCAAAGGCGGGGAUAGACAGAUCCAAAAAUUUUUUCUGAUCGAUUUUGAUAUAUGGAACGUCAAAAUUAGAGUUCGUAUACGAAAGUAAUGGCUGUUUUACGAACGAACUCCGAAUUAGAGGACAAAACGGUCCGGAAGUGGAAAAAAUUUGCGGUGGUGGCUAGAAAUUGAUGGAAAUAGUGGGAAAAAACACAUAAACUGGACUGUAACAAGAUCUAACCAGUAACAAGACCUCGACCAGGACACAAACUCAACACUACGGACUCUGAAACUGAAAUAUGCAAAGGCUAUGGCGCGGAUGGGUUGUAGGACAUGAAAACAAUAUGGCACUAGACUUAUGGGACGAACACAAGGACACUGGAUAGAUGUGAACCUAACGGUAUUUCUGAAGCUUUGAUUACCACUUGAGGAGAACAAGUGUGGCCCGAUCUUCCGAAAGUUUUUGGUAACUAUCGAUUUGGUGGAAACGAGAGACAUGUCAAUCCAGCUUGUCAACAACACAAUUCGAAACCCUGCAAUUCUUUUUUUUUGAUAUUUUUCUUUACUUAGGACCACUCAAGAAGUAACCACAGGGAAUUCGAGCUUAAACAAGUGAAAGACGUGGCCUGUGGAAUUUUUUGAAGAUUGUGAAAAAUAUGAAAAAAAAACUUUAGGAGGUGAAAGCUCAAACUUCAGAGGCGAAUUUGGGGAUUCUAAAAUUGUCGAACCCGCCAACGGCGGGCAUAGACUGAUCUAAAAAUUUUUUCUGAUGGAUUGUGAUAUAUGGAACGUCAAAAUUAGAGUUCGUAUGCGAAAGUUAUGGCUGUUUUACGAAUGGACUCCGAAUUAGAGGACAAAACAGUGAGGAAGUGGGAAAAUUUUGCGGUGGUGGCUAGAAAUUGAUGGAAACAGUGAGAAAAAACACACAAACUAGACUGUAACAAGACCUAACCAGUAACAAGACCUCGACCAUGGACUCUGAAACUGAAAUAUGCAAAGGCUAUGGCGCAGAUGGGUUGUAGGACAUGAAAACAAUAUGGCACUAGACUUAUGGGACGAACACAAGGACACUUGAAACUAAGGAUAGUUGUGAACCUAACGGUAUGUCUGAAGCUUUGAUUACCACUUGAGGAGAACAAGUGUGACCCGAUCUUCCGAAAGUUUCACGUAACUAUCGAUUUGGUGGAAACGAGAGACAUAUCAAUCCAGCUUGCGAACAACACAAUUCGAAACCCUGCAAUUUUUUUUAUUUUUUUUUUGAUAUUUUUCUUUUACUUAGGAGCACUCAAGAAGUAACCACAGGAAAUUUAAGCUUAAACAAGUGAAAGACCUGGCCUGUGGAAUUUUUUGAAAAUUGUGAAAAAUAUGAAAAAAAACAUUAGGAGGUGAAAACUCAAACUUCUGAGGCGAAUUUGGGGAUUCUAAAAUUAUCGAACUCGCCAAUGGCAAUAGACAGAUCCAAAUUUUUUUUCUGAUCGAUUCUGGUAUAUGGAACGUCAAAAUUAGAGUUCGUAUGCGAAGGUUAUGGCUGUUUUACGAACGGACUCCGAAUUAGAGAACAAAAGGGUCCGAAAGUGAGAAACAUUUGCGGUGGUGGCUAGAAAUUGAUGGAAACAGUGGGAAAAAAUACACAAACUGGACUGUAACAAGACCUAACCAGUAUCAAGACGUCGACCAGGACACAAACUCAAUACUACGGACUCUGAAACUGAAAUAUGCAAAGGCUAUGGCGCGGAUGGGUUGUAGGACACGAAAACAAUAUGGCACUAGACUUAUGGGAUGAACACAAGGACACUUGAAACUAAGGAUAGAUGUGAACCUAACGGUAUGUCUGAAGCUUUGAUUACCACUUGAAGAGAACAAGUGUGGCCCGAUCUUCCGAAAGUUUCUCGUAACUAUCGAUUUGGUGGAAACGAGAGACAUAUCAAUCCAGCUUGCGAACAACACAAUUCGAAACCCUGCAAUUCUUUUUAUUUUUAUUUUUUUGAUAUUUUUCAUUUAUUUAGGAGCACUUAAAAAGUAACCACAGGAAAUUUGAGCUUAAACAAGUGAAAGACGUGGCCUGUGGAUUUUUUUGAAGAUUGUGAAAAAUAUGAAAAAAAACUUUAGGAGGUAAAAACUCAAACUUCAGAGGUGAAUUUGGCGAUUCUAAAAUUGUCGAACCCGCCAAAGGCAGGAUAGACAGAUCCAAAAAUUUUUUCUGAUGGAUUUUGAUAUAUGGAACGUCAAAAUUAGACUUCGUAUGCGAAAGUUAUGGCUGUUUUACGAACGAACUCCGAAUUAGAGGACAAAACGGUCCGGAAGUGGGAAAAAAUUUGCGGUGGUGGCUAGAAAUUGAUGGAAAUAGUUAGAAAAAACACACAAAUUGGACUGUAACAAGACCUAACCAGUAACAAGACCUCGACCAGGACACAAACUUAACACUACGGACUCUGAAACUGAAAUAUGCAAAGGCUAUGGCGCGGAUGGGUUGUAGGAUAUGAAAACAAUAUGGCACUAGACUUAUGGGACGAACACAAGGAAACUUGAAACUUAGGGUAGAUGUGAACCUAACCGUAUGCCUGAAGCUUUGAUUACCACUUGAGGAGAACAAGUGUGGCUCGAUCUUCCGAAAGUUUCUCGUAACUAUCGAUUUGGUGGAAACGAGAGACAUAUCAAUCCAGCUUGCGAACAACACAAUUCGAAACCCUGCAAUUCUUUUUAUUUUUACUUUUUGAUAUUUUUCUUUUACUUAGGAGUACUCAAGAAGUAACCACAGGAAAUUUGAGCUUAAACAAGUGAAAGACGUGGCCUGUGGAAUUUUUUGAAGAUUGUGAAAAAUAUGAAAAAAAAAUUUAGGACGUGAAAACUCAAACUUCAGAGGCGAAUUUGGGGAUUCUAAAAUUGUCGAACUCGCCAUAGGCGAGGAUAGAUAGAUCCAAAAAAUUUUUCUGAUCGAUUCUGGUAUAUGGAACGUCAAAGUUGGAGUUGGUAUGCGAAAGUUAUGGCUGUUUUACGAACGGACUCCGAAUUAGAGGACAAAACGGUCCGGAAGUGAGAAAAAUUUGUGGUGGUGGCUAGAAAUUGAUGGAAACAGUGGGAAAAAACACACAAACUCGACUGCAACAAGACCUAACCAGUAUCAAGACGUCGAGCAGGACACAAACUCAACACUACGGACUCUGAAACUGAAAUAUGCAAUGGCUAUGGCCCAGAUGGGUUGUAGGACAUGAAAACAAUAUGGCACUAGACUUAUGGGACGAACACAAGGACACUUGAAACUAAGGGUAGAUGUGAACCUAACGGUACGUUUGAAGCUUUGAUUACCACAUGAGGAGAACAUGUGUGGCCCGAUCUUCCGAAAGUUUCUCGUAACUAUCGAUUUGGUGGAAACGAGAGACAUAUCAAUCCAGUUUGCGAACAACACAAUUCGAACCCUGCAAUUCUUUUUUUUGAUAUUUUUCUUUUACUUAGGAGCACUCAAGAAGUAACCACAGGAAAUUUGAGCUUAGACAAGUGAAAGACGUGGCCUGUGGAAUUUUUUGAAGAUUGUCAAAAAUAUGAAAAAAAACUUUAGGAGGUGAGAGGCGAAUUUUGGGAUUCUAAAAUUGUCGAACCUGCCAUAGGCAGAGAUAGACAGAUCCAAAUUUUUUUUCUCUGAACGAUUUUGAUAUAUGGAACGUCAAAAUUAGAGUUCGUAUGCGAAAGUUAUGGCUGUUUUACCAACGGACUCCGAAUUAGAGGACAAAACGGUCCGGAAGUGGGAAAAAUUUAGGGUAGUGGCUAGAAAUUGAUGGAAACAGUGGGAAAAAACACACAAACUGGACUCGUAACGAGAGACAUAUCAAUCCAGCUUGCGAACAACACAAUUCGAAACCCUGCAAUGCUUUUUAUUUUUAUUUUUUGAUAUUUUUCUUUUACUUAGGAGCACUCAAGAAGUAACCACAGGAAAUUUGAGCUUAAACAAGUGAAAGACGUGGCCUGUGGAAUUUUUUGAAGAUUGUGAAAAAUAUGAAAAAAAAUUUAGGAGGUGAAAAGUCAAACUUCAGAGUUGAAUUUGGGGAUUCUAAAAUUAUCGAACCCGCCAAAGGCGGGCAUAGACGGAUCCAAAAAUUUUUUCUGAUCGAUUUUGAUAUAUGGAACGUCAAAAUUAGAGUUCGUAUGCGAAAGUAAUGGCUGUUUUACGAACGAACUCCGAAUUAGAGGACAAAACGGUCCGUAAGUGGGAAAAAUUUGCGGUGGUGGCUAGAAAUUGAUGGAAAUAGUGGGAAAAACACAUAAACUGGACUGUAACAAGACCUCGACCAGGACACAAACUCAACACUACGGACUCUGAAACUGAAAUAUGCAAAGGCUAUGGCGCGGAUAGGUUGUAGGACAUGAAAACAAUAUGGCACUAGACUUAUGGGAUGAACACAAGGACACUUGAAACUAAGGAUAGAUGUGAACCUAUGUCUGAAGCUUUGAUUACCACUUGAGGAGAACAAGUGUGGCCCGAUCUUCCGAAAGUUUUUGGUAACUAUCGAUUUGGCGGAAACGAGAGACAUGUCAAUCCAGCUUGUCAACAACACAAUUCGAAACCCUGCAAUUCUUUUUUUUGAUAUUUUUCUUUUACUUAGGAGCACUCAAUAAGUAACCACAGAAAAUUUGAGCUUAAACAAGUGAAAGACGUGGCCUGUGGAAUUUUUUGAAGAUUGUGAAAAAUAUGAAAAAAAACUUUAGGAGGUGAGAACUCAAACUUCAGAGGCGAAUUUGGGGAUUCUAAAAUUGUCGAACCCGCCAACAGCGGGCAUAGACUGAUCUAAAAAAUUUUUCUGAUGGAUUGUGAUAUAUGGAACGUCAAAAUUAGAGUUCGUAUGCGAAAGUUAUGGCUGUUUUACGAACGGACUCCGAAUUAGAGGACAAAACAGUCAGGAAGUGGGAAAAAUUUGCGGUGGUGGCUAGAAAUUGAUGGAAACAGUGAGAAAAAACACACAAACUGGACUGUAACAAGACCUAACCAGUAACAAGACCUCGACCACGGACUCUGAAACUGAAAUAUGCAAAGGCUAUGGCGCGGAUGGGUUGUAGGACAUGAAAACAAUAUGGCACUGGACUUAUGGGACGAACACAAGGACACUUGAAACUAAGGAUAGAUGUGAACCUAACGGUAUGUCUGAAGCUUUGAUUAUCACUUGAGGAGAACAAGUGUGACCAGAUCUUCCAAAAGUUUCACGUAACUAUCGAUUUGGUGGAAACGAGAGACAUAUCAAUCCAGCUUGCGAACAACACAAUUCGAAACCCUACAAUUCUUUUUAUUUUUAUUUUUUGAUAUUUUUCUUUUAUUUAGGAGCACUUAAGAAGUAACCACAGGAAAUUUGAGCUUAAACAAGUGAAAGACCUGGCCUGUGGAAUUUUUUGAAGAUUGUGAAAAAUAUGAAAAAAAAACCUUAGGAGGUGAAAACUCAAACUUCAGAGGCGAAUUUGGGGAUUCUAAAAUUGUCGAACUCGCCAAUGGCAAUAGACAGAUCCAAAUUUUUUUUCUGAUCGAUUCUGGUAUAUGGAACGUUAAAAUUGGAGUUCGUAUGCGAAGGUUAUGGCUGUUUUACGAACGGACUCCGAAUUAGAGAACAAAACGGUCUGAAAGUGAGAAAAAUUUGCGGUGGUGGCAAGAAAUUGAUGAAAACAGUGGAAAAAAAUAUACAAACUGGACUGUAACAAGACCUAACCAGUAUCAAGACGUCGACCAGGACACAAACUCAACACUACGGACUCUGAAACUGAAAUAUGCAAAGGCUAUGGCGCGGAUGGGUUGUAGGACAUGAAAACAAUAUGGCACUAGACUUAUGAGACGAACACAAGGACACUUGAAACUAAAGAUAGAUGUGAACCUAACGGUAUGUCUGAAGCUUUGAUUACCACUUGAAGAGAACAAGUGUGGCCCGAUCUUCCGAAAGUUUCUCGUAACUAUCGAUUUGGUGGAAACGAGAGACAUAUAAAUCCAGCUUGCGAACAACACAAUUCGAAACCCUGCAAUUCUUUUUAUUUUUAUUUUUUGAUAUUUUUCUUUUAUUUAGAAGCACUUAAGAAGUAACCAUAGGAAAUUUGAGCUUAAACAAGUGAGAGACGUGGCCUGUGGAAUUUUUUGAAGAUUGUGAAAAAUAUGAAAAAAAAACUUUAGGAGGUAAAAACUCAAACUUCAGAGGUGAAUUUGGGGAUUCUAAAAUUGUCGAACCCGCCAAAGGCAAGAUAGACAGAUCCAAAAUUUUUUUCUGAUCGAUUCUGGUAUAUGGAACGUCAAAAUUGGAGUUCGUAUGCGAAGGUUAUGGCUGUUUUACGAACGGACUCCGAAUUAGAGAACAAAACGGUCCGAAAGUGAGAAAAAUUUGCGGUGGUGGCUAGAAAUUGAUGGAAACAGUGGGAAAAAAUACACUUAAACUGGAUUGUAACAAGACCUAACCAGUAUCAAGACGUCGACCAGGACACAAACUCAACACUACGGACUCUGAAACUGAAAUAUGCAAAGGCUAUGGCGCGGAUGGGUUGUAGGACAUGAAAACAAUAUGGCACUAGACUUAUGGGAUGAACACCAGGACACUUGAAACUAAGGAUAGAUGUGAACCUAACGGUAUGUCUGAAGCUUUGAUUACCACUUGAGGAGAACAAGUGUGGCCCGAUCUUUUGAAAGUUUUUCGUAACUAUCGAUUUGGUGGAAACGAGAGACAUAUCAAUCCAGCUUGCGAACAACACAAUUCGAAACCCUGCAAUUCUUUUUAUUUUUAUUUUUUGAUAUUUUUCUUUUACUUAGGAGCACUUAAGAAGUAACCAUAGGAAAUUUGAGCUUAAACAAGUGAAAGACGUGGCCUGUGGAAUUUUUUGAAGAUUGUGAAAAAUAUGAAAAAAACUUUAGGAGGUGAAAACUCAAACUUCAGAGGCGAAUUUGGGGAUUCUAAAAUUGUCGAACCCGCCAAAGGCAGGAUAGACAGAUCCAAAAAAAUUUUUUGAUCGAUUUUGAUAUAUGAAACGUCAAAAUUAGAGUUCGUAUGUGAAAGUUAUGGCUGUUUUACAAACGAACUCCGAAUUAGAGGACAAAACGGUCCGGAAUUGGGAAAAAUUUGCGGUGGUGGCUAGAAAUUGAUGGAAAUAGUGGGAAAAAACACACAAACUGGACUGUAACAAGACCUAACCAGUAACAAGACCUCGACCAGGACACAAACUCAACACUACGGACUCUGAAACUGAAAUAUGCAAAGGCUAUGGCGCGGAUGGGUUGUAGGACAUGAAAACAAUAUGGCACUAGACUUAUGGGACGAACACAAGGACACUUGAAACUAAGGGAAGAUUUGAACCUAACGGUAUGUCUGAAGCUUUGAUUACCACUUGAGGAGAACAAGUGUGGCCCGAUCUGCCGAAAGUUUCUCGUAACUAUCGAUUUGGUGGAAACGAGAGACAUAUCAAUCCAGCUUGUGAACAACACAAUUCGAAACCCUGCAAUUCUUUUUAUUUUUAUUUUUUGAUAUUUUUCUUUUACUUAGGGGCACUCAAGAAGUAACCACAGGAAAUUUGAGCUUAAACAAGUGAAAGACGUGGCCUGUGGAAUUUUUUGAAGAUUGUGAAAAAUAUGAAAAAAAAAUUUAGGAGGUGAAAACUCAAACUUCAGAGGUGAAUUUGGGGAUUCUAAAAUUGUCGAACCCCCCAAAGGUGGGGAUAGACAGAUCCAAAAAUUUUUUCUGAUCAACUUUGAUAUAUGGAACGUCAAAAUUAGAGUUCGUAUACGAAAGUUAUGGCUGUUUUACGAACAAACUCCGAAUUAGAGGACAAAACGGUCCGGAAGUGGGAAAAAUUUGCGGUGGUGGCUAGAAAUGGAUGGAAAUAGUGGGAAAAAACAUAGAAACUAGACUCUAACAAGAUCUAACCAGUAACAAGACCUCGACCAGGACACAAACUCAACACUACGGACUCUGAAACUGAAAUAUGCAAAGGCUAUGGCGCGGAUGGGUUGUAGGACAUGAAAACAAUAUGGCACUAGACUUAUGGGACGAACACAAGGACACUUGAAACUAAGGAUAGAUGUGAACCUAACGGUAUGUCUGAAGCUUUGAUUACCACUCGAGGAGAACAAGUGUGGCCCGAUCUUUCGAAAGUUUCUGGUAACUAUCGAUUUGGUGGAAACGAGAGACAUAUCAAUCCAGCUUGCCAACAACAUAAUUCGAAACCCUGCAAUUCUUUUUUUUGAUAUUUUUCUUUUACUUAGGAGCACUCAAGAAGUAACCACAAGAAAUUUGAGCUUAAACAAGUGAAAGACGUAGCCUGUGGAAGUUGAAGAUUGUGAAAAAUAUGAAAAAAAACUUUAGGAGGUGAAAACUCAAAUUUCAGAGGCGAAUUUGGGGAUUCUAAAAUUGUCGAACCCGCCAAAGGAGGGAUAGACAGAUCCAAAAAAUUUUUCUGAUCGAUUUUGAUAUAUGGAACGUGAAAAUUAGAGUUCGUAUGUGAAAGUUAUGGUUGUUUUAUGAACGAACUCCGAAUUAGAGGACAAAACGGUCCGGAAGUGGGAAAAAUUUGCGGUGGUGGGUAGAAAUUGAUGGAAAUAGUUGGAAAAAACAAACAAACUGGACUGUAACAAGAUCUAACCAGUAACAAGACCUCGACCAGGACACAAACUCAACACUACGGACUUUGAAACUGAAAUAUGCAAAGGCUAUGACGUGGAUGGGUUGUAGGACAUGAAAAGAAUAUGGCACUAGACUUAUGGGACGAACACAAGGACACUUGAAAGUAAUGGUAGAUAUGAACCAAACGGUAUGUCUGAAGCUUUGAUUACCACUUGAGGAGAACAAGUGUGGCCCGAUCUUCCAAAAGUUUCUCGUAACUAUCGAUUUGGUGGAAACGAGAGACAUAUCAAUCCAGCUGGCGAACAACACAAUUCGAAACCCUGCAAUUCUUUUUAUUUUUUUGAUAUUUUACUUUUACUUAGGAGCACUCAAGAAGUAACCACAGGAAAUUUGAGCUUAAACAUGUGAAAGACGUGGCCUGUCGAAUUUUUUGAAGAUUGUGAAAAAUAUGAAAAAAAAACUUUAGGAGGUGAAAACUCAAACUUCAUAGGCGAAUUUGAGGAUUCUAAAAUUGUCGAACCCGCCAAAGGAGGGGAUAGACAGAUCCAAAAUUUUUUUCUGAUCGAUUUUGAUAUAUGGAACAUCAAAAUUGGAGUUCGUAUACGAAAGUAUGGCUGUUUUACGAACGGACUCCGAAUUAGAGGACAAAACGGUCCGGAAGUGGGAAAAAUUUGCGGUGGUAGCUAGAAAUUGAUGGAAACAGUUAGAAAAAACACACAAACUGGACUGUAACAAGACCUAACCAUUAACAAGAUCUCGACCAGGACAUAAACUCAACACUACGGACUCUGAAACUGAAAUAUGCAAAGGCUAUGGCGCGGAUGGGUUGUAGGACAUGAAAACAAUAUGGCACUAGACUUAUGGGACGAACACAAGGACACUUGAAACUAAGGGUAGAUGUGACCCUAACGGUAUGUCUGAAGCUUUGAUUACCACUUGAGGAGAACAAGUGUGGCCCGAUCUUCCGAAAGUUUCUCGUAACUAUCGAUUUGGUGGAAACGAGAGACAUAUCAAUCCAGCUUGCGAACAACACAAUUCGAAACCCUGUAAUUCUUUUUUUUUGAUAUUUUUCUUUUACUUAGGAGCACUCAAGAAAUAACCACAGGAAAUUUGAGCUUAAACAAGUGAAAGACGUGGCCUAUGGAUUUUUUUGAAGAUUGUGAAAAAUAUGAAAAAAAAAAUUAGGAGGUGAAAACUCAAACUUCAGAGGCGAAUUUGGGGAUUCUAAAAUUGUCGAACCCGCAAAAGGCAGGGAUAGACAGAUCCAAAAUUUUUUUCUGAACAAUUUUGAUAUAUGGAACGUCAAAAUUAGACUUCGUAUGCGAAAGUUAUGGCUGUUUUACGAACGGACUCCGAAUUAGAGGACAAAACGGUCCGGAAGUGGGAAAAAUUUGCGGUGGUGGCUAGAAAUUGAUGGAAACAGUGGAAAAAACACACAAACUUUACUCUAACAAGACCUAACCAGUAACAAGACCUCGACCAGAACACAAACUCAACACUACGGACUCUGAAACUGAAAUAUGCAAAGGCUAUGGCGCGGAUGGGUUGUAGGACAUGAAAAGAAUAUGGCACUAGACUUAUGGGACGAACACAAGGACACUUGAAACUAAGGGUAGAUAUAAACCUAACGGUAUGUCUGAAGCUUUGAUUACCACUUGAGGAGAACAAGUGUGGCCCGAUCUUCCGAAAGUUUCUCGUAACUAUCGAUUUGGUGGCAACGAGAGACAUAUCAAUCCAGCUGGCGAACAACACAAUUCGAAACCCUGCAAUUCUUUUUAUUUUUUUUGAUAUUUUUCUUUUACUUAGGAGCACUCAAGAAGUAACCAUAGGAAAUUUGAGCUUAAACAAGUGAAAGACGUGGCCUGUGGAAUUUUUUGAAGAUUGUGAAAAAUAUAAAAAAACUUUAGGAGGUAAAAACUCAAACUUCAGAGGCGAAUUUGGGGAUUCUAAAAUUGUCGAACCCGCCAAAGGCGGGGAUAGACAGAUCCAAAAAUUUUUUCUGAACGAUUUUGAUAUAUGGAACGUCAAAAUUAGAGUUCGUAUGCGAAAGUUAUGGCUGUUUUACGAAUGGACUCCGAAUUAGAGGACAGAACGGUCCGGAAGUGGGAAAAAUUUGCGGUGGUGGCUAGAAAUUGAUGGAUACAUUUGGAAAAAGCACACAAACUGGACUGUAACAAGACCUAACCAGUAACAAGAUCUCGACCAGGACACAAACUCAACACUACGGACUCUGAAAUAUGCAAAGGCUGUGGCGCGGAUGGGUUGUAGGACAUGAAAACAAUAUGACACUAGACUUAUGGGACGAACACAAGGACACUUUAAACUAAGGGUAGAUGUGAACCUAACGGUAUGUCUGAAGCUUUGAUUACCACUUGAGGAGAACAAGUGUGGCCCGAUCUUCCGAAAGUUUCUCGUAACUAUCGAUUUGGUGGAAACGAGAGACAUAUCAAUCCAACUUGCGAACAACACAAUUCGAAACCCUCCAAUUCUUUUUUUUGAUAUUUUAAUUUUAUUUAGGAGCACUUAAGAAGUAACCAAAGGAAAUUUGAGCUGAAACAAGUGAAAGACGUGGCCUGUGGAAUUUUUUGAAGAUUGUGAAAAAUAUGAAAAAAAACUUUUGGAGGUGAAAACUCAAACUUCAGAGGCGAAUUUGGGGAUUCUAAAAUUGUCGAACCCGCCAAAGGAGGGAUAGACAGAUCCAAAAUUUUUUUCUGAACAAUUUUGAUAUAUAGAACGUCAAAAUUAGAGUUCGUAUGCGAAAGUUAUGGCUGUUUUACGAACGGACUCCGAAUUAGAGGACAAAACGGUCUGGAAGUGGGAAAAAUUUGCGGUGGUGGCUAGAAUUUGAUGGAAACAGUAGGAAAAAACACACAAACUGGACUGUAACAUGACCUAACCAGUAACAAGACCUCGACCAGGACACAAACUCAACACUACGGACUCUGAAACUGAAAUAUGCAAAGGCUAUGGCGCGGAUGGGUUGUAGGACGUGAAAACAAUAUGGCACUAGACUUAUGGGACGAACACAAGGACACUUGAAACUAAGGGUAGAUGUGAACUUAACGGUAUGUCUGAAGCUUUGAUUACCACUUGAGGAGAACAAGUGUGGCCCAAUCUUCUGAAAGUUUCUCGUAACUAUCGAUUUGGUGGAAACGAGAGACAUAUCAAUCCACCUUGCGAACAACACAAUUCGAAACCCUGCAAUUCUUUUUAUUUUUAUUUUUUGAUAUUUUUCUUUUACUUAGGAGCACUCAAGAAGUAACCACAGGAAAUUUGAGCUUAAUCAAGUGAAAGACGUGGCCUGUGGAACUUUUUGAAGAUUGUGAAAAAUAUGAAAAAAAAUUAGGAGGUGAAAACUCAAACCUCAGAGGCGAAUUUGGGGAUUCUAAAAUUGUCGAACCCGCCAAAGGCGGGGAUAGACAGAUCCAAAAUUUUUUUUCGGAUCGAUUUUGAUAUAUGUAACGUCAUUUUAGAGUUUGUAUGCGAAAGUUAUGGUUGUUUUAUGAACGAACUCCGAAUUAGAGGACAAAACGGUCCGGAAGUGGGAAAAAUUUGCGGUGGUGGCUAGAAAUUGAUGGAAAUAGUGAGAAAAACAAACAAACUGGACUGUAACAAGAUCUAACCAGUAACAAGACCUCGACCAGGACACAAACUCAACACUACGGACUUUGAAACUGAAAUAUGCAAAGGCUAUGACGUGGAUGGGUUGUAGGACAUGAAAAGAAUAUGGCACUAGACUUAUGGGACGAACACAAGGACACUUGAAACUAAGGGUAGAUAUGAACCAAACGGUAUGUCUGAAGCUUUGAUUACCACUUAAGGAGAACAAGUGUGGCGCGAUCUUCCAAAAGUUUCUCGUAACUAUCGAUUUGGUGGAAACGAGAAACAUAUCAAUCCAGCUGGCGAACAACACAAUUCGAAACCCUGCAAUUCUUUUUAUUUUUUUCGAUAUUUUUCUUUUACUUAGGAGCACUCAAGAAGUAACCACAGGAAAUUUGAGCUUAAACAAGUGAAAGACGUGGCCUGUGGAAUUUUUUGAAGAUUGUGAAAAAUAUGAAAAAAAAUUUUAGGAGGUGAAAACUCAAACUUCAGAGGCGAAUUUGGGGAUUCUAAAAUUGUUGAACCCGCCAACGGCAGGGAUAGACAGAUAAAAAAAAAUUUUUGAUCGAUUUUGAUAUAUGGAACGUCAAAAUCGGAGUUCGUAUGCGAAAAUUAUGGCUGUUUUACGAUCGGACUUUGAAUUAGAGGACAAAACGGUCCGGAAGUGGGAAAAAUUUACGGCAGUGGCUAGAAAGCUAUUGAAACGUUUGGAAAAAACACAUAAACUGUACUCUAACAAGACCUAACCUGCAACAAGACCUUGACCAGGACACAAACUCAACACUACGGACUCUGAAACUGAAAUAUGUAAAGGCUAUGGCGCGGAUGAGUUGGAGGACAUGAAAACAAUAUGGCACUAGACUUAUGGGACGAACACAAGGACACUCGAAACUAAGGAUAGAUGUGAACCUAACGAUAUGUCUCAAGCUUUGAUUACCAAUUGAAGAGAACAUGUGUGGCCCGAUCUUCCGAAAGGUUCUGGUAACUAUUGAUUUGGUGGAAACGAGACACAAAUCAAUCCAGCUUGCGAACAAUACGAUCCGAAACCCUACAAUUAUUUUUUUUGAUAUUUUUCUUUUACUUAGGAGCAUUCAAGAAGUAAACACAGGAAAUUUGAGCUUAAACAAGUGAAAAACGUGGCCUGAGGAAAUUUUUUAAGAUUACGAAAAAUAUGAAAAAAAAUUAGGAGGUGAAAACUCAAACUUCAGAGGCGAAUUUGGGGAUCUUAAAAUUGUCGAACCAGUCUAUGGCGGGGAUAGGCAGAUCCAAAAUUUUUUUUAUCGAUUUUGAUAUAAGGAACGUCAAAAUCGGAGCUUGUAUGCGAAAGUUAUGGCUGUUUUACGAACGAACUCCGAAUUAGAGGACAAAAUGGUCCGGAAGUGGGAAAAAUUUACGGUGGUGGCUAGAAAUUGAUGGAAACGAUGGGAAAAAACACACAAAGUGGACUCUAACAAGACAUAACUAGUAACAAGACCCCGACCAGGACACAAACUCAACACUACGGACUCUAAAACUGAAAUAUGCAAAGGCUAUGGCGCGGAUGAGUUGUAGGACAUGAAAACAAUAUGACACUACACUUAUCUGACGAACACAAGGAUACUUGAAACUAAGGGUAGAUGUGAACCUAACGGUAUGUCUGAAACUUUGAUUACCACUUGAGGAGAACAAGUGUGGCCCGAUCUUCUGAAAGGUUCUAGUAACUAUCGAUUUGGUGGAAACGAGACACAAAUCAAUCCAGCUUGCGAACAACACGAUACGAAACCCUACAAUUCUUUUUUUUUGAUAUUUUUCUUUUACUUAGGAGCACUCAAGAAGUAACCACAAGAAAUUUAAGCUUAAACAAGUGAAAGACGUGGCCUGUGGAAAUUUUGAAGAUUGCGAAAAAUAUGAAAAAAAACUUUAGGAGGUAAAAACUCAAAUUUCAGAGGCGAAUUUGUUGAUUUUAAAAUUCUCGAACCAGCCUAUGGUGGGGAUAGACAGAUCCAAAUUUUUUUAUGUUCGAUUUUGAUAUAUGGAACGUCAAAAUCAGAGUUUGUUUGCAAAAGUUAUGGCUGUUUUUCGAACGAACUCCGAAUUAGAUGACAAAAUGGUCCGGAAGUGGGAAAAAUUGCGGUGGUGGCUAGAAAUUGAUGGAAACGGUGGGAAAAAACACAUAAAGUGGACUCUAACAAGACCUAACUAGUAACAAGACCUCGACCAAGACACAAACUCAACACUACGGACUCUGAAACUGAAAUAUGCAAACUCUAUGGCGCGGAUGGGUUGUAGGACAUGAAAACAAUAUGGCACUAGACUUAUGGGACGAACACAAGGACACUCGAAACUAAGGGUAGAUGUGAACCUAACCGUAUGUCUGAAGCUUUGAUUACCACUUGAGGAGAACAAGUGUGGCCCAAUCUUCCGAAAGGUUCUAGUAACUAUGGAUUUGGUGGAAACGAGACACAAAUCAAUCCAGCUUACGAACAACACGAUUCGAAACCCUGCGAUUCUUUUUAUUUUUUUUUGAUAUUUUUAUUUUACUUAGGAGCACUCAGUAAGUAACCACAGGAAAUUUGAGCUUAAACAACUGAAUGACGUGGCCUGUGGAAUUUUUUGAAGAUUGUGAAAAAUAUGAAAAAAACAUUAGGAGGUGAAAACUCAAAUUUCAGAGGCAAAUUUGGGGAUUCUAAAAUUGUCGAACAAGCCUAUGGCGGGGAUGGACAGAUCCAAAAAUUUUUCUAAUCGAUUUAGAUAUAUGGAACGUCGAAAUCGGAGUUCGUAUGCGAAAGUUAUGGCUGUUUUACGAACGGACUCCGAAUUAGAGGACAAAAACGGUUCGGAAGUGGGAAAAAUUUGCGGUGGUGGCUAGAAUUUGAUGGAAACAGUGGGAAAAAACACACAAACUGGACUGUAACAUGACCUAACCAGUAACAAGACCUCGACCAGGACACAAACUCAACACUACGGACUCUGAAACUGAAAUAUGUAAAGGCUAUGGCGCGGAUGGGUUGUAGGACGUGAAAACAAUAUGGCACUAGACUUAUGGGACGAACACAAGGACACUUGAAACUAAGGGUAGAUGUGAACUUAACGGUAUGUCUGAAGCUUUGAUUACCACUUGAGGAGAACUAGUGUGGCCCAAUAUUCUGAAAGUUUCUCGUAACUAUCGAUUUGGUGGAAACGAGAGACAUAUCAAUCCACCUUGCGAACAACACAAUUCGAAACCCUGCAAUUCUUUUUAUUUUUAUUUUUUGGUAUUUUUCUUUUACUUAGGAGCACUCAAGAAGUAACCACAGGAAAUUUGAGCUUAAUCAAGUGAAAGACGUGGCCUGUGGAAUUUUUUGAAGAUUGUGAAAAAUAUGAAAAAAAAUUAGGAGGUGAAAACUCAAACCUCAGAGGCGAAUUUGGGGAUUCUAAAAUUGUCGAACCCGCCAAAGGCGGGGAUAGACAGAUCCAAAAAUUUUUUUCUGAUCAAUUUUGAUAUAUGUAACGUCAUUUUAGAGUUCGUAUGCGAAAGUUAUGGUUGUUUUAUGAACGAACUCCGAAUUAGAGGACAAAACGGUCCGGAAGUGGGAAAAAUUUGCGGUGGUGGCUAGAAAUUGAUGGAAAUAGUGGGAAAAAACAAACAAACUGGACUGUAACAAGAUCUAACCAGUAACAAGACCUCGACCAGGAUACAAACUCAACACUACGGACUUUGAAACUGAAAUAUGCAAAGGCUAUGACGUGGAUGGGUUGUAGGACAUGAAAAGAAUAUGGCACUAGACUUAUGGGACGAACACAAGGACACUUGAAACUAAGGGUAGAUAUGAACCAAACGGUAUGUCUGAAGCUUUGAUUACCACUUGAGGAGAACAAGUGUGGCCCGAUCUUCCAAAAGUUUCUCGUAACUAUCGAUUUGGUGGAAACGAGAGACAUAUCAAUCCAGCUGGCGAACAACACAAUUCAAAACCCUGCAAUUCUUUUUAUUUUUUUCGAUAUUUUUCUUUUACUUAGGAGCACUCAAGAAGUAACCACAGGAAAUUUGAGCUUAAACAAGUGAAAGACGUGGCCUGUGGAAUUUUUUGAAGAUUGUGAAAAAUAUGAAAAAAAAAACUUUAGGAGGUGAAAACUCAAACUUCAUAGGCGAAUUUGGGGAUUCUAAAAUUGUCGAACCCGCCAAAGGAGGGGAUAGACAGAUCCAAAAAUUUUUUCUGAUCGAUUUUGAUAUAUGGAACAUCAAAAUUGGAGUUCGUAUACGAAAGUUAUGGCUGUUUUACGAACGGACUCCGAAUUAGAGGACAAAACGGUCCGGAAGUGGGAAAAAUUUGCGGUGGUAGCUAGAAAUUGAUGGAAACAGUUAGAAAAAACACACAAACUGGACUGUAACAAGACCUAACCAGUAACAAGAUCUCGACCAGGACACAAACUCAACACUACGGACUCUGCAACUGAAAUAUGCAAAGGCCAUGGCGCGGAUGGGUUGUAGGACAUGAAAACAAUAUGGCACUAGACUUAUGGGACGAACACAAGGACACUCGAAACUAAGGAUAGAUGUGAACCUAACGAUAUGUCUGAAGCUUUGAUUACCAAUUGAAGAGAACAUGUGUGGCCCGAUCUUCCGAAAGGUUCUGGUAACUAUUGAUUUGGUGGAAACUAGACACAAAUCAAUCCAGCUUGCGAACAAUACGAUCCGAAACCCUACAAUUAUUUUUUUUGAUAUUUUUCUUUUACUUAGGAGCAUUCAAGAAGUAAACACAGGAAAUUUGAGCUUAAACAAGUGAAAAACGUGGCCUGAGGAAAUUUUUUAAGAUUACGAAAAAUAUGAAAAAAAAAUUAGGAGGUGAAAACUCAAACUUCAGAGGCGAAUUUGGGGAUCUUAAAAUUGUCGAACCAGUCUAUGGCGGGGAUAGGCAGAUCCAAAUAUUUUUUUAUCGAUUUUGAUAUAUGGAACGUCAAAAUCGGAGUUUGUAUGCGAAAGUUAUGGCUGUUUUACGAACGAACUCCGAAUUAGAGGACAAAAUGGUCCGGAAGUGGGAAAAAUUUGUGGUGGUGGCUAGAAAUUGAUGGAAACGAUGGGAAAAAACACACAAAGUGGACUCUAACAAGACAUAACUAGUAACAAGACCUCGACCAGGACACAAACUCAACACUACGGACUCUAAAACUGAAAUAUGCAAAGGCUAUGGCGCGGAUGAGUUGUAGGACAUGAAAACAAUAUGACACUACACUUAUCUGACGAACACAAGGACACUUGAAACUAAGGGUAGAUGUGAACCUAACGGUAUGUCUGAAGCUUUGAUUACCACUUGAGGAGAACAAGUGUGGCCCGAUCUUCUGAAAGGUUCUAGUAACUAUCGAUUUGGUGGAAACGAGACACAAAUCAAUCCAGCUUGCGAACAACACGAUACGAAACCCUACAAUUCUUUUUUUUUAAUAUUUUUCUUUUACUUAGGAGCACUCAAGAAGUAACCACAAGAAAUUUGAGCUUAAACAAGUGAAAGACGUGGCCUGUGGAAAUUUUUGAAGAUUGCGAAAAAUAUGAAAAAAAACUUUAGGAGGUAAAAACUCAAAUUUCAGAGGCAAAUUUGUUGAUUUUAAAAUUGUCGAACCAGCCUAUGGUGGGGAUAGACAGAUCCAAUUUUUUUUCUGUUCGAUUUUGAUAUAUGGAACGUCAAAAUCAGAGUUUGUAUGCAAAAGUUAUGGCUGUUUUUCGAACGAACUCCGAAUUAGAUGACAAAAUGGUCCGGAAGUGGGAAAAAUUGCGGUGGUGGCUAGAAAUUGAUGGAAACGGUGGGAAAAAACACAUAAAGUGGACUCUAACAAGACCUAACUAGUAACAAGACCUCGACCAAGACACAAACUCAACACUACGGACUCUGAAACUGAAAUAUGCAAACUCUAUGGCGCGGAUGGGUUGUAGGACAUGAAAACAAUAUGGCACUAGACUUAUGGGACGAACACAAGGACACUCAAAACUAAGGGUCGAUGUGAACCUAUCUGAAGCUUUGAUUACCACUUGAGUAGAACAAGUGUGGCCCAAUCUUCCGAAAGGUUCUAGUAACUAUGGAUUUGGUGGAAACGAGACACAAAUCAAUCCAGCUUACGAACAACACGAUUCGAAACCCUGCAAUUCUUUUUAUUUUUUUUGAUAUUUUUAUUUUACUUAGGAGCACUCAGUAAGUAACCACAGGAAAGUUGAGCUUAAACAAGUGAAAGACGUGGCCUGUGGAAUUUUUUGGAGAUUGUGAAAAAUAUGAAAAAAAAAACAUUAGGAGGUGAAAACUCAAAUUUCAGAGGCAAAUUUGGGGAUUCUAAAAUUGUCGAACAAGCCUAUGGCGGGGAUGGACAGAUCCAAAAAUUUUUCUGAUCGAUUUAGAUAUAUGGAACGUCGAAAUCGGAGUUCAUAUGCGAAAGUUAUGGCUGUUUUACGAACGGACUCCGAAUUAGAGGACAAAACGGUUCGGAAGUGGGAAAAAUUUACGGUGGUGGCUAGAAAUUGAUGGAAACGGUGGAAAAAAACACACAAACUGGACUCUAACAAGACCUAACCAGUAACAAGACCUCGACCAGGAUACAAACUCAACACUACGGACUGUGAAACUGAAAUAUGCAAAGGCUAUGUCGCGGAUGGGUUGUAGGACAUCAAAACAAUAUGGCACUAGACUUAUGAGACGAACACAAGGACACUUGAAACUAAGGGUACAAGUGAACCUAACAGUAUGUCUGAAGCUUUGAUUACCACAUGAGGAGAACAAGUGUGGCCCGAUCUUCCGAAAGGUUAUAGUAAUUAUCGAUUUGGUGGAAACAAGACACAAAUCAAUCCAGCUUGCGAACAACACGAUUCGAAACCCUGCAAUUCUUUUUUUUUUAUUUUUGAUAUUUUUCUUUUACUUAGGAGCACUCAAGAAGGAACCACAGGAAAUUUGAGCUUAAACAAGUGAAAGACGUGGCCUGUGGAAAAUUUUGAAGAUUACGAAAAAUAUGAAAAAAAAACUUUAGGAGGUGAAAACUCAAACUUCAAAGACGAAUUUGGGGAUUUUAAAAUUGUCGAACCAUUCUAUGGCGGGGAUAGGCAGAUCCAAAAAAUUUUUCUAAACGAUUUUGAUACAUGGAACGUCGAAAUCGGAAUUUGUAUGCGAAAGUUAUGGCUGUUUUACGAACAGACUCCGAAUUAGAGGACAAACGGUUCGGAAGUGGGAAAAUUUUACGGCGGUGUGUAGAAAUUGAUGGAAACGGUGGGAAAAAACUCAUAAACUAGACUCUAACAAGACCUAACCAGUAACAAGACCUUGACGAGGACACAAACUCAACACUACGGACUCUGAAACUGAAAUAUGCAAAGGCUAUGGCGCGGAUGGGUUGUAGGACAUAAAAACAAUAUGGGACUAUACUUAUGGGAUGAACACAAGGACACUCGAAACUAAAGGUAGAUGUGAACCUAACGGUAUGUCUAAAGCUUUGAUUACCACUUGAGGAGAACAAGUAUGGCCCGAUCUUCCGAAAGGUUCUGGUAAUUAUCGAUUUGGUGGAAACGAGACACAAAUCAAUCCAGCUUGCGAACAACACUAUUCGAAACCCUACAAUUUUUUUUAUUUUUUUUGAUAUUUUUCUUUCUCCUAGGAGAACUCAAGAAAUAACCACAGGAAAUUCAAGCUUAAACAAGUGAAAGACGUGGCCUGUGGAAUUUUUUGAAGAUUACAAAAAAUAUGAAAAAAAACUUUAGGAGGUGAAAACUCAAAUUUCAGAGGCGAAUUUGGGGAUUCUAAAAUUGUCGAACCCACCUUUUGUGGGGAUAGAUAGAUCCAAAAAUUUGUUCUGAUCGAUUUUGAUAUAUGGAACGUCGAAACCGGAGUUUGUAUGCGAAAGUUAUGGCUGUUUUACGAACGGACUCCGAAUUAGAGGACAAAACGGUCCGAAAGUGGGAAAAAUUUACGGCGGCGUCUAGAAAUUGAUGGAAACGGUGGGAAAAAACACAUAAACUAGACUCUAACAAGACCUAACUAGUAACAAGACCUUGACCAGGACACAAACUCAACACUACGGACUCUGAAACUGAAAUAUGCAAAGGCUAUGGCGCGGAUGGGUUGUAGGACAUGAAAACAAUAUGGCACAAGACUUAUGGGACGAACACAAGGACACUCGAAACUAAGGGUAGAUGUGAACCUAACGGUAUGUCUGAAGCUUUGAUUACCACAUGAAGAGAACAAGUGUGGCCCGAUCUUCCGAAAGGUUCUGGUAACUAUCGAUUUGGUGGAAACGAGACACAAAUCAAUCCACCAUGCGAACAACACGAUUUGAAACCCUGCAAUUCUUUUUAUUUUUGUUUGAUAGUUUUCUUUUACAUAGGAGCACUCAAGAAGUAACCACAGGAAAUUUGAGCUUAAACAAGUGAAAGACAUGGCCUGUGGAAAUUUUUGAAGAUUGCGGAAAAUAUGAAAAAACUUUAGGAGGUGAAAACUCAAACUUCAGAGACAAAUUUGGGGAUCCUAAAAUUGUCGGACCCCCCUUUGGCGGGGAUAGACAGAUCCAAAAAAUUUUUCUAAAUGAUUUUGAUACAUGGAACGUCAAAAUCGGAAUUUGUAUUCGAAAGUUAUGGUUGUUUUACGAACAGACUCCGAAUUAGAGGACAAACGGUCCGGAAGUGGGAAAAUUUUACGGCGGUGUGUAGAAAUUGAUGGAAACGGUGGGGAAAACACAUAAACUAGACUCUAACAAGACCUAACCAGUAACAAGACCUUGACCAGGACACAAACUCAACACUACGGGCAAAGGCUAUGGCGCGGAUGGGUUGUAGGACAUAAAAACAAUAUGGCACUAUACUUAUGGGAUGAACACAAGGACACUCGAAACUAAAGGUAGAUGUGAACCUAACGGUAUGUGUAAAGCUUUGAUUACCACUUGAGGAGAACAAGUGUGGCCCGAUCUUCCGAAAGGUUCUGGUUAUUAUCGAUUUGGUGGAAACGAGACACAAAUCAAUCCAGCUUGCUGUUGACGGUUCUUAAGUAUCAAUUUUAAUUAUCAAAUAAACAAGAGAAAGGACCGAUAUGCAACCAACACCUAGAAUUAGGGUUUGAUCUGAUAGAAUUCCACGAGUUUUAUUGUUUAUCUGUUUCUGCAGGGGGUUAUCAGGAAAUAAGGAAGAAAGGCCCACAUGUCGGGAUUACAUAGAGAUAUCAACGCACUGCGCGAUUUUCUACCAUCUAGAAGACUCCAGAAGCCACGGGAAGAAGGCAGAGGCCGAAAGGGGCCAGGCCCAGGGCGCCCGCCCUGGUGACCUGGGCGCGCGCCCCCUAUUGGAUUCCGUUCGGGACUCUCUUCGCACGCAAUGUUCCACCGACCUAAUAGAUCAAAGAUAAUGUAGUACCACCUCACCUACCGACCCAAAAACGCAUAGAGGAGGAGGACUAUAUAAGGAGACCCCCCUGGCCCCUGGAGAAGACAAGAAAUUAUCAUAGAGAUUGAGGGGUGCCCUCGAAGGAAAACCUCUUCUCUAAUUAAUAUUUCUUUUUAGGCUUAGCAACUAAUGUAAAGUAGAAAUAGAUCUUCUAGUUUCUACUAGAUUGAGAGAGAUAGAGUGGAGGUGUAGAUUGGAGGAAGCCCGGCCUGUCGGUGUCUACUCCAAGCUUGUACCUGUGGGAUCAAGUUCUCCUAACCCGAAGCUUGCACCUAGGAUUCUUCAGUAUUUCGACUUCUAAAUUCUAGUAAGUUCUUGUUUUAUUGUUCUUCUGGUUUAUGAGUUUACUUUAAUCUCUUCGCGUAGAGUUUAGAGUAAUCAUUGCUGGCGUAAACGUGGUGUUUAGGCUGGGGUACUCAUAGAUAUUCCCUGACUAGCUAGACCGUGGUAGUAGUGAGGAACGUGACAAUUCCGAGUUACCUUUGCAGACCAUAUCUCGUUAGCAGGAAGGAUAGGGUUUAUAGGUGCGGGUUGAACAUCCUUUGUGGUUUCUAGAUUCCGUUAGCCUCUCCGAUAGAAUAGUAGAUCAUCCUUACCAAGGUUAGAAGGAGACUACGGUUGCAGUCUUCUCUAUUUAUCACUCACAUCGAGAGACAUUCUUUGUUGCCUAAAGGGUUAGUAGUAAUAGACCGGUUAGUCAGAUGCACUCUUUCUCCUAGUGGUAAAAAAAUAAAUACGAUACUCUGGAUAACCUCCCGGGUGAAGUGCUCACCGAUAUCCGUGCGCUUGCGGAUCAAUUCCUUAUUGCGUUCCCAAAUAUCAACAAGCAUUUCUGGCGCCGUUGCCGGGGAGAAAGACGGUUGCUGAGAUAACCUUGAGUCUUACUACUAGCUUGUAUCUAUACUUUUGUCUUUUCUUAUCUUUUAUAUUCUUUAUUUAUUUUCUUUACUCUUACCUUAUGGAAAACCAAAAUUCUAAAUCGAUCCAUGAGUCUGCAAUCGCUUCAGUAACUGACCUUUUACCAUGGGAAUCAUCACAGCCUAUCCAAACAUCCCAGUAUAAGUUAAGUUCUAGGUUGAUUGCCAUGAUUCAAAACCUAUCUUUUUCGGGAAAGGAAGACGAAAACCCUUACCUUUAUAUUAGAGAUUUUGAGCAAACAUGUGAUUGUCUUCGCAUUGAAGGCAUUUCUGAUAAAACUUUACGUUGGAAGCUUUUUCCUUUUUCCUUAAGGGGAGAAGCUAGACAAUGGUACAGUCAGAAGGUAAGUCAACAACAAGGUGAAUGGGGAGUUUUACGAGCCAACUUUUGUCUAGAUUUCUAUUCUCUUGACCGUAUAGCCAACCUUAGACUCGAAGUCCUAUCUUUUAAACAAAAAGAUAAUGAAACUUUGGGAAAAUCCUGGAAACGUUUUUCUGAUCUUUUAGAAUCUGGUCCAAACCUUAAUCUUGAAGACCCUGUUCUUUUAUUUCACUUUUUUCGAGGUCUUCAUAAAAAUCACAAACAAAUGCUACACACAAUGUCUAGAGGUUCUUUCUUUCACAUCCCUACUGAUGAAGCUAGAGUGAUCCUAGAUAGAAUCCUAGAAGGUGAGAUGGAUAAUACCCUUCAUGAUGAAACCUACGAAGCUGAAGUAGACACUUUGCCAAAUUCUUCAUCUACUUUAGCUAUCCCAAGUUCUGAGCCACAAGAGGAAGAAAUUCCACCACCAGACUUCAUGCUGGAUAUAGAAUCCGAUCUUUUUGCCGAUUUCGGAAACAUUUCAAAUUACCAUUCUAUUGAUAAACCCCAAAACGGCCAGUUUAGCAUUUAUUUGCCAAGUGAAUAUCAAUUGAGAGAGCUUAUCUCAGUAAUGAGUAGCGAAUGGUUGGAGGAAUCAGAGCUUUCCUCUGAUGUGAUCCAUUUGGACACACCCUCUAUAACUAUACGCUGUGCUUAUAAUUCUGAUCGAUUUAAUGCUCUCUAUAAUCCUGUUGUGGGGAUCAACAUCAUGUCUGAAUCUUUUGCACUUAAACUAUUUAAAAAUCUUGUCUUAACCCCCACAACAAAGGUCAUAAAGGAAUCUUCGGGACGAUUAGUCCCUAGUCUUGGAAUUAUUAAUGUCCUACCUCUUAUGGUAGAAGGCUCCAUGGUUCAUUUGAACUUCUAUAUCUUUGAUACAUGGGACUUCGACCUGUUGAUAGGACAACCUUUUAAAAGACUCCUUUAUGAAGGUCAUACUGGAAAGCUACACAUUUCUUUCCGAAAAACCUUUAAAUUCCCAAUAACAAUUUCACACUCCUUAAACAAUAAGGCCGAGUCAUAUCUUUUGCCUGAUCCUAUGGAGGAGGUAAAGGCUGCAUCUCUAGAGCUUUUAGAUGAACCAGACUUAGAAGACGAAACUCCUUUCUUCACAGAAGAAGAAGCUGAACCUUCUGACCAUGAACCCUUAGAUGAGUUUGCAGAAACACCUAGACCCCCAUAGAGCUUAAAACUUUACCACCCGGUCUUACAUAUGCUUUCCUAAACAAUAAUCUAGAGUUCCCUAUAAUCAUUAGCGAUAAACUCACUCAGGAUCAAACUCUGCGAUUAAUGACCAUUCUUGAGAAACAUCACUCAGUGUUCGGCUACUCACUCCAAGAUCUUACAGGAAUCAGUCCUAUGAUUUGUACCCAUCGUAUUCCAACAGAUCCAUCUGUUUCACCCUCUCGAGAACCCCAACGUAGACUUAAUAACACUAUGAGAGAGGUAGUUAAAAAGGAAGUUAUAAAGAUGCUACAUGUAGGGAUUAUAUAUCCUGUGCCGCACAGUGAGUGGGUGAGCCCAGUUCAAGUUGUGCCUAAAAAGGGAGGCAUGACUGUUAUUAUGAAUGAAAAGAACGAGCUAAUUCCGCAACACACCGUCACAGGAUGGCGGAUGUGCAUAGACUAUAGAAAACUAAACAAAGCCACGAGAAAGGAUCACUUUCCUUUACCUUUUAUAGAUGAGAUGCUACGGUUAGCGAACCAUUCGUUCUUCUAUUUCUUAGAUGGAUAUUCAGGGUAUCAUCAGAUCCCGAUCCAUCCCGAUGAUCAAAGUAAAACCACUUUUACAUGCCCAUAUGGAACUUAUGCUUAUCGUAGAAUGUCUUUUGGGUUAUGUAAUGAACCAGCUUCUUUUCAAAGAUGCAUGAUGUCUAUAUUUUCUGAUAUGAUUGAAGAGAUUAUGGAAGUUUUCAUGGAUGAUUUCUCUGUUUAUGGAAAAACUUUUGAUAGUUGUCUUGAAAACUUAGACAAGGUUUUGCAAAGAUGUGAAGAAAAGCACUUAGUCCUUAAUUGGGAAAAAUGUCAUUUCAUGGUUAGGGAAGGAAUAGUGCUGGGACACUUAGUGUCUGAAAGAGGUAUUGAGGUAGACAAAGCUAAAAUUGAAGUAAUUAAACAUAUACCUCCACCUGUGAAUAUAAAAGGAAUUCGAAGCUUUCUUGGCCAUGCUGGUUUUUAUCGUAGAUUCAUAAAAGAUUUUUCAUUUAUUGCUAGACCACUUACUCUUUUGCUAGCCAAGGAUGCUCCUUUCAAAUUUGAUGAUGCAUGUCUAACAUCUUUCAAUUUAUUAAAGAAAGCACUCAUCUCUGCACCAAUCAUUCAACCCCCUGAUUGGUCGUUGCCUUUUGAAAUUAUGUGUGAUGCUAGUGAUUAUGCUGUGGGGGCAGUAUUGGGACAAACUAAAAAUAAGAAGCAUCAUGCAAUUGCUUAUGCCAGUAAAACUUUGACAGGAGCUCAACUUAACUAUGCAACCACUGAAAAAGAGCUUCUGGCUGUUGUCUUUGCCAUUGAUAAAUUUAGAUCUUACUUAGUUGGAGCUAAAAUAAUUGUUUACACUGAUCAUGCUGCACUAAAAUAUUUGCUCACUAAAAAAGAUGCUAAACCUCGCCUGAUUAGAUGGAUCUUAUUACUCCAAGAAUUUGACUUAGAAAUAAAAGAUAAAAAAGGAGAAGAAAAUUCUGUUGCUGAUCACUUGUCUAGAAUUUAUUUUAAGAGUCCACAGGAAACCCCCAUCAAUGAUUCACUCCGGGACGACAUGCUCUACGGGAUUAACAGGUCUGACCCCUGGUAUGCAGAUAUUGUUAAUUUUAUGGUUUCAGGGUAUGUACCACCAGGAGCAAACAAGAAGAAGCUUAUUCAAGAAAGUCGUUCACAUAUAUGGGAUGAGCCAUACCUCUUCCGAGUAUGCUCUGAUGGCUUACUCAGGAGAUGUGUGACCACUGAGGAAGGAUGGAAGAUCAUCGACAGAUGUCAUUCAUCACCAUAUGGAGGUCACUAUGGAGCAUUCCGCACACAUUCAAAGAUCUGGCAGUGUGGAUUCUACUGGCCUACAAUGUAUGAAGACACGAAGCAAUAUAUCAGAAGAUGUGGGCCAUGUCAAAGACACGGAAACAUAAAUACAAGGGAUGCAAUGCCACUCACCAACAACCUUCAGAUUGAGCUCUUUGAUGUCUGGGGAAUAGACUACAUGGGUCCAUUUCCUCCAUCAAUGAAGUGUGAGUACAUCUUGGUGGCGGUUGACUAUGUCUCCAAGUGGGUAGAGGCAUUACCUUGCAAGCAUGCCGACAACGUCAAUUCAAAGAGGAUGUUUGAAGAAAUUAUAUUUCCAAGAUUUGGAGUCCCCAGAGUAGUGAUAAGUGAUGGAGGAGCACACUUCAUCGACAAACGCUUCAAGCAAUAUCUAUCAAAGCAUGGAAUCCGUCACAACGUCGCUACCCCCUAUCAUCCUCAGACAAGUGGCCAAGCAGAGACUUCCAACAAACAAAUGAAGAAUAUUCUUCAGAAGACAGUAAAUGAAAUGGGAACGGCGUGGAAAGACAAGUUACCCGAUGCACUCUGGGCAUACCGGACAGCAUACAAGACCCCAAUUGGAAUGUCCCCAUACCAAUUGGUGUACGGGAAGACUUGCCAUCUACCUGUUGAACUAGAUUUCAAAGCACACUGGGCCAUAAAGAGAUGGAAUAUGGACCUAGAUAUUGCUGGAGAUUAUAGAAGAAUGCAACUAUCAGAAUUGGAAGAAUGGCGAGAGAAGGCAUAUCACAACUCAAAGAUCUACAAAGAAAGAGUCAAAAGGUGGCAUGACAAGAGAAUCAAGAAGAAGGAGUUCACACCCGGAGAUAAGGUAUUACUUUUUAAUUCCAGGGUGAAGCUUUUCGGGCAUGGAAAACUCCAGAGCAAAUGGGAAGGACCAUUCAAGGUAAUUAAUUCAUCAUCCCACGGAGCUAUCACACUUCAAAAUGACGAAGGUACGUUAUUCAAGGUAAAUGGUCAACGUCUUAAAUUAUUUUUAGAGCCCAAUAAAGAAUUAGAAGAAAUAGACGUAGUCCAUUUUUACCUUCCCAUGGAGAAUUAGAGCCCGACCUUUUUACUCUGAUGUUUUUGGGUCAUAUAUAUAUUUUUCUAAAUAAUUUCGCAUCUAGAAACACGCUCGAGAAAGUUGGCCCAGAGAGGGGCCAGAGAGAGGGCGGGCGCCCAGAUCAGGUGGGCGGGCGCCCAGCUCCAGUUCCCCCUCGGUCCCAAUUUUCUCUAUUAUGGAAAAUGCACUUAUGGUAAUCUGAAUAAUCCCUCAGAUGGAAAGUUUCGCACGCACAUCGACGGGAGCAACCCGAACAACCCAUAGAGGCACUUUUUGACCCCUAUAUAAACAGACCCCUGACCUCAGUUUUCAAACACCAAGCCACCAAGCCUUCUCUUCUUCAAUUAGAGCUUGAUUAGUUCCUUGCUGCUCCAAUGGCCGAGAAGUACCACGAUGAUUGGGAAGUUGUCCCCUUCAACCUCAACAUGGAGCCUGUGGAAGACCCCGAUGCCCGUGCUAUCGUCCCGGCCAACACAGAGCGACAGCUAGAAGCCAUGUCAUUACGCCAACGCAGCUCCACCCAAUCUUACCAUGCUCAACCAGUUCUCACCGCACCGCCACAACCCCUACUCCUCAAAGGAUCAUCAUCCAAGACGAAGACCACCAUCAAGGUGCCAACCGGCACAAGGAUCCUUCCACCUAGACCCAGUGAGAGGGUCGUUGGAGUCAAGACCAACCGGAGCGGCGAGAUCAGCAGUAUUCGCUACACUACGGAGGAGGAAAGGCCUUACUUUGAAGGGAUUAGAGCAGCCAAAGUUCGUUUCAUCCCUCCAAAGGCAGCCCCGAAGCACGCUCUCAAUGCUUUUGAGACACCUCCCAAGUGUCGCAAGACUAUAAUGGAUAUUGAUGAGGACGUUCGCAGGCUAGACAGAGUUAUCAUAGACCUCCAGUCCUCGAUUAAUUGCCUCACUAGGCAGCUCUCUAACCACAACACCGUUAUACUAGGCCUUAGGUAGGAUCUUGCCAGUGCCAACAAGAAGAUUAAUAAAUUAGAGCGCCGCUAAGUUAUCUAGAUUAGACCUUGAGGCAAUGCAUCUUAGUUAUCUAUCUUUAAAUUCGGUUUAGGUUUACUAUUAUCAUCAGUUUACUAUUAUCAUCAGUUUGCUAUCAGUUUACUACUAGUCUUUUGUAAUAAAUGCCUCAAGAUUAAUAAAGAGUAUUAUUAUUAUUAUGUCUUGUGUGCCUCUACUUUAUUUUUGUGCAAGAAAGCAGAAAACAAGUAUGGGGGAGAUCCCUAGACAUGCCAAACACACUCCGACCACACCACUCCACGAUUCAGGUACACACUCUGCACACUUUACUUUACACAUACAUACAUUUUGGAUUAUGCAGAAUAUUGUUUCCGACAUGAUAAAAUAAAAACAUUAAAAUAUUUGUAAUCAUGAUUAAUCUCAAUCUGUGAUAUUUCUUGAAAACUUGCAACUAUUAUAAAAUCAUUUUAAAACCCUGUGUUACUUAAGUCAAUAUGGAAUGUGAGAUGGUAGAGUAUGAGUUUCUUAUUCUUGAUAUCAUUGUUACUUGGAGAAUUUAUUUCAAAAUCUUCAAAAUUCUAGCUACCAUCCUCAGUGUUUUAUAUGCCUGAUAAAACUGAAAAUAUUAAUUACGAUUAUAAAAGCUACCUACUCUGUAUUGAGUUUGUUCAAAAUGAGUUAGACCCUUGUUGAGAGAUUUAUCAUGCUCCUAAGAUCAAGACAUUUAUUUAGAAAGAUUCACUCUUCCGAAGUAUUAUUGCAUUAGAGGCAUGUGCUAUGCAAAAAUAGAGAUAUUUUGAGGAAAUAAAAAGGAGCAAGUGCUCGACAACCUCGCAGAAAAAUGGACAAGUGUCUGGCAGUAGAAUUAGGGAUACCUCGGUAUCCACUUAAAAAAAGAGAGAGAAAAGAAGAAAAUGAUAGCCCAUGGUCCCUCUAAGAAGCAAUAUGCCAGCAAGAGUUGACAAAGAUUUUAAUUUCCAAAGUCUUUGAUCUAAGAGUAUGACAUUCCCCUCCUCGGAUCCCGUUUUGAUCAGGCAAUAAAUGCAAAGUAAGUAUGCUUGAGAAUUUUUUGCAAAUUAAAACAGCCUCGGUGAGACAUAUAAAAGAUAAUGAGUGAUCUAAGAGAACCUAUGAGGAUAAAAAGGUAUGCUAACUUUCUUUCAAAAAUAUACAAAAACUCCAAGUGACAGGAUUAAGAAGAAAGGAUCUUUACUCUUAACCAUAAAUUUUCCUGACUAUGGUACACAGUGGAUUCUUAACACCAUGCAAUUAUAAAGAGAAUGUUUUAAAUGUUUACCCCAGAUAUUUUUCUUAACCAUCCUUUUCUCGAGGACGAGUAAAAGCCUAAGUAUGGGGGUAUUUGUUGACGGUUCUUAAGUAUCAAUUUUAAUUAUCAAAUAAACAAGAGAAAGGACCGAUAUGCAACCAACACCUAGAAUUAGGGUUUGAUCUCACAGAAUUCCACGAGUUUUGUUGUUUAUCUAUUUCUGUAGGGGGUUAUCAGGAAAUAAGGAAGAAAGGCCCACAUGUCGGGAUUACAUAGAGAUAUCAACGCACCGCGUGAUUUUCUACCAUCUAGAAGACUCCAGAAGCCACGGGAAGAAGGCAGAGGCCGAAAGGGGCCAGGCCCAGGGCGCCCGCCCCCAGUUGGAUUCCGUUCGGGACUCUCUUCGCACGCAAUGUUCCACCGACCUAAUAGAUCAAAGAUAAUGUAGUACCACCUCACCUACCGACCCAAAAACGCAUAGAGGAGGAGGACUAUAUAAGGAGACCCCCCUGGCCCCUGGAGAAGAUAAGAAAUUAUCAUAGAGAUUGAGGGGUGCCCUCAAAGGAAAACCUCUUCUCUAAUUAAUAUUUCUUUUUAGGCUUAGCAACCAAUGUAAAGUAGAAAUAGAUCUUCUAGUUUCUACUAGAUUGAGAGAGAUAGAGUGGAGGUGUAGAUUGGAGGAAGCCCGGCCUGUCGGUGUCUACUCCAAGCUUGUACCUGCGGGAUCAAGUUCUCCUAACCCGAAGCUUGCUCCUAGGAUUCUUCAGUAUUUCGACUUCUAAAUUCUAGUAAGUUCUUGUUUUAUUGUUCUUCUAGUUUAUGAGUUUAGUUUAAUCUCUUCGCGUAGAGUUUAGAUUAAUCAUUGCUGGUGUAUACGUGGUGUUUAGGCUGGGGUACUCAUAGAUAUUCCCUGACUAGCUAGACCGUGGUAGUAGUGAGGAACGUGACAAUUUCGAGUUACCUUUGCAGACCAUAUCUCGUUAGCAGGAAGGAUAGGGUUUAUAGGUGCGGGUUGAACAUCCUUUGUGGUGUCUAGAUUCCGUUAGCCUCCCCGAUAGAACAGUAGAUCAUCCUUACCAAGGUUAGAAGGAGACUACGGUUGCAGUCUUCUCUAUUUAUCACUCACAUCGAGAGACAUUCUUUGUUGCCUAAAGGGUUAGUAGUAAUAGACCGGUUAGUCAGAUGCACUCUUUCUCCUAGUGGUAAAAAAAUAAAUACGAUACUGUGGAUAACCUCCCGGGUGAAGUGCGCACCGAUAUCCGUGCGCUUACGGAUCAAUUCCUUAUUGCGUUCCCAAAUAUCAACACUUGCGAACAACACGAUUCGAAACCCUGUAAUUUUUUUUGAUAUUUUUCUUUCUCUUAGGAGCACUCAAGAAAUAACCACAAGAAAUUCGAGCUUAAACAAGUGAAAGACGUGGCCUGUGGAAUUUUUUGAAGAUUGCGAAAAAUAUGAAAAAAAAACAUUUGGAGGUGAAAACUCAAAGUUCAGAGGUGAAUUUGGGGAUUCUAAAAUUGUCGAACCCACCUUUGGCAGGGAUAGACAGAUCCAAAAUUUUUUCUGAUCGAUUUUGAUAUAUGAAACGUCAAAAUCGGAGUUUGUAUGCGAAUGUUAUGGUUGUUUUACGAACGGACUCCGAAUUAGAGGAUAAAACGGUCCGGAAGUGGAAAAAAAUUUGCAGCGGUGGCUAGAAAUUGAUGAAAACGGUGGGAAAAAUACACAAACUGGACUCUAACAAGACCUAACCCGUAACAAGACCUCGACCAGGACACAAACUCAACACUACGUACUCUGAAACUGAAAUAUGGAAAGGCUAUGGCGCGGAUGGGUUGUAGGACAUGAAAACAAUAUGGCAGAAGACUUAUGGGACGAAUAAAAGGAAACUCGAAACUAAGGGUAGAUGUGAACCUAACGGUAUGUCUGAAGCUUUGAUUACCACUUGAAGAGAACAAGUGUGGCCCGAUCUUCCGAAAGGUUCUAGUAACUAUCGAUUUGGUGGAAACGAGACACAAAUCAAUCCAGCUUGCGAACAACACGAUUCGAAACAUUGCAACUCUUUUUAUUUUAUUUUUUUAUAUUUUUCUUUUACAUAGGAGCACUCAAGAAGUAACCACAGGAAAUUUGGCUUAAACAAGUGAAAGACAUGGCCUGUGGAAAUUUUUGA
rnacentral:lncRNA from 1 species